UGGGCUUUACCAACAGACAGUAAGUCAUGCGUGCGUGAAUCCACGACGUACAUACAGUAUCCGGAAACGGCCUGCGCUAUUGCAAAACACUAGAUAUGUCCACAUGAUAGUAUAAUAUGAACAUGCACCCGAUAGUGGGAUGUAUUUUCCCUAAUGUACACGCUAUACAUUUGCUUGUAACAAAAGCAUAAAGAACAUCAGUUCUCGGACAUCGUCACAAGUUGUGUAUUGCUUAACGCACUGCAAACGCGUGAGAGGUACCUGUAAAAUGCUCAAUCGACCCUAUCAGCGGCUUGGAGGCACCAAAAUCCCGUAGCCUAUAAACACCAGGGACAACAUCUUCAGGAAUGGUCCACUCCAGCGUCGCAAAGCUCUCCGGACUGAGUUUCAAAGGCCUCGACCACUUGAAUCGCAAAGACCAAUCAUCAUCGUCGUAGCCAGGAAUCCAGUUGUCACCAUUCAGCCUCUCAACGAGCGCGAAGGUACCGUCUGUUAGAAGAUCAUUCCUUGGACAGGCCGUAUGGAACGUAGCAUUCACGGUACUGCCCUUCCGAAAGUCUGAGUUUGCUGUGAUGUCGGAGCUGACAUCCCCAAAGUGAACACCAGGAGGAGUCGAGUCGAGAAUGACGCCUAAUAGCAGUCCAAUUUGCUUGUCCAACAUGUCAGGAGGUAGGGUGUUUGUUUGGUGGGAUCCUUUGUUUGCAACCAUAGGGUCCAUAGCCGUGGCAAUUUUCUGAAACUCUUGAAUGUAUGCACUCAAGGUUUGGGGACCGUACAAUGUCGACGCACCCUGCAAAACACAUAUUCACUCCAAUGAAUCAUUCAUGCAUUUUAUAUGUUUGAUGGAACAAUAACUGGAAAUUCAGGUCACCGAGAUAUCAGAUCUUUAGCCAACUGCCAUAAUUAUGGAACGUUUAUACCAAAAAACCAAAUGGAAUAUAUUUAGGGGGGAGGGGGGAUACCGAAGCAAAAAAUCACAUACCUGUUAAACAUCAAUAUUGAGCAUGUACGUGUUAAACAUCCUUGGGCGUGUCAUUGGGCGCAUUGUAACGUAUCUUAGCAGGAGUCCUUCGGUUGUAGGCUAGGAGGUUUAUCUUCUGUAACCAUAACCCUAUCUCUUCCUAGCUUGAUCUCCAAGUUGUAACCUCUCCUAUAAGCUCUCAAUUGUAUGCGUUAUCAGUGACUCGCGCCCCUGCCUAUAACAUGCACGGCGUCCCCUCUCAAUGAGGUAAGACGCUUUCCGCUUCGCACAUGGUAGUCAGAGCCUUUCCUUUUCCCAUCUAGAGCUUCUGUCAACCCAUCUAGCCUAGCCAUGUCUUCCUCCGGCUCCUUCUCGCCUAGUCUCAAUAGUCAGCUUACAGAGAAGUUGUCUCGCACGAAUUACGUGUUGUGGCGCACGCAGAUCACACCUCAGCUGCACGGUGCCGGUGUCUUUGGCUAUGUCGACGGCACCGACCCGGAGCCGGCCAAGCUCCUCGUCACCACCAAGGAUGGCAAGGAGACUUCAUUGCCCAACCCUCUCCACCCUAUAUCGGUACGUGAGGAUCAGCAGGUCCUUGGCUACCUGCUGGAUAACCUCACAAAAGAGGUCCUCGUCACGGUGACCACGCUCACCACGGUGGGCGCGCUCUGGACGAUGCUUGCUGCCAUGCUCUCGUCAAAAUCGGCGAGUCGCAUCAACAACAUCCGCACCUCCCUCAUCAAUGCGCAGAAGGGUAACCUCUCGGUUGCCUCCUACUUCGCCGUCAUGCGUGGCUAUGCCGAUGAGCUGGCCGCGGCGGGCAAAGCUAUCCAGGAUGAUGAGCUUGUCUUGUACAUCAUUCAUGGGCUGGAGGCGGACUAUCAACCUCUGGUGUCUGCUCUCGACGCCCGUGUCACACCUGUGACCCUCGAUGAGCUCUUCGCCAUGCUGUCCAACUUCGACCAGCGCAUGGCCUAGUACCACGGCUCCGGCGGCUUCAAGUCUUCUACCAACAUGGCGUCUCGCGGCCGGGGCGGUGGAUCCCGCUCGCGUGGCUCUCCCCGCUAUAAGGGGCGAUCUGGUGGCGGCGGCGGGAACGACCGUGGCCUGAUACGUCUCCAAUGUAUCUAUAAUUUUUGAUUGUUCCAUGCUAUUAUAUUAUCUGUUUUGGAUGUUCAAUGGACUUUAUUAUACACUUUUAUAUUAUUUUUGGGACUAACCUAUUAACCGGAGGCCCAGCCCAAAUUGCUGUUUUUUUUUGCCUAUUUUAGUGUUUCGAAGGAAAGGAAUAUCAAACGGAGUCCAAACGGAAUGAAACCUUCGGGAACGUGAUUUUCUGAACAAACGUGAUCCAGAGGACUUGGAGUGGACGCCAAGCAAUCAACGAGGAGGCCACGAGGCAGGGGGCGCGCCUACCCCCUGGGCAUGUCAUCCACCCUCGUGGGCCCCUUGUAGCUCCACCGACCUACUUCUUCCUCCUAUAUAUACCUACGUACCCCGAAAACAUCAGCAGAGAAGCCAAAACCCUAUUUCCACCGCCGCAACCUUCUGUACCCGUGAGAUCCCAUCUUGGGGCCUUUUCCGGCGCUCCGCUGGAGGGGGCAUCGAUCACGGAAGGCUUCUACAUCAACACCAUAGCCUCUCCGAUGAUGUGUGAGUAGUUUACUUCAGACCUUCGGGUCCAUAGUUAUUAGCUGGAUGGCUUCUUCUCUCUCUUUGGAUCUCAAUACAAAGUUCUCCUCGAUUCUCUUGGAGAUCUAUUCGAUGUAAUCUUCUUUUGCGGUGUGUUUGUCGAGAUCCGAUGAAUUGUGGGUUUAUGAUCAAGAUUAUCUAUGAACAAUAUUUGAAUCUCCUCUGAAUUCUUUUAUGUAUGAUUGGUUAUCUUUGCAAGUCUCUUCGAAUUAUCAGUUUGGUUUGGCCUACUAGAUUUAUCUUUCUUGCAAUGGGAGCAGUGCUUAGCUUUGGGUUCAAUCUUGCGGUGCUCGAUCCCAGUGACAGUAGGGGAAACGACACGUAUUGUAUUGUUGCCAUUGAGGAUAAAAAGAUGGGGUUUAUUCGUGUGGAGUAAUAGUUGUAGAUGCAGGCAGGAGUCGGUCUACUUGUCACGGACGUGAUGCCCAUAUACAUGAUCAUACCUAGAUAUUCUCAUAACUAUGCUCAAUUCUAUCAAUUGCUCGACAGUAAUUUGUUCACCCACCGUAAUACUUAUGCUCUUGAGAGAAGACACUAGUGAAACCUAUGGCCCCCGGGUCUAUGCUCUAUCAUAUUAAUCUACUAUUAUUUCUAUUACCGUUUAUUUUGCUUUCUUUACUUUUAGUCUUUAUUAUAAAAAUACCAAAAAUAUUAUCUUAUCAUCUCUAUCAGAUCUCACUUUUGCAAGUGGCCGUGAAGGGAUUGACAACCCCUUUAUCGCGUUGGUUGCAAGGUUCUUAUUUGUUUGUGUAGGUGCGUGGGACUUGAGCGUGGUCUCCUACUAGAUUGAUACCUUGGUUCUCAAAAACUGAGGGAAAUACUCACGCUACUUUACUGCAUCACCCUUUCCUCUUCAAGGGAAAACCAACGCAGUGCUCAAGAGGUAGCAAGAAGGAUUUCUGGCGCCGUUGCGGAGGAGUCUACGCACAAGUCAAGACAUACCAAGUACCCAUCACAAACUCUUAUCCCUCGCAUUACAUUAUUUGCCAUUUGCCUCUCGUUUUCCUCUCCCCCACUUCACCCUUGCCGUUUUAUUCGCCUUCUUUUCCGUUUGCCUCUUUUUGCUUGUCUCUUGUUUCUUGUUGCCUUUAUGGCCCUGCCUAGAUUUGGUGAUCUUCACGUUAAAAGGUUGGAAGAGAUUGAAAGCAACGUCAGAAGCUUUAUGACUUGACAAUUUGAGCAUAAUAAUUUCUUUAGAAAUGAGCUUAAGGAACAAAAAGGCUUUAUGGAGUACAUGAAUAAAGAGCUUGAUGACAUGUCUAAGGAAUUUUAUGGUUUGAAAUCUCAGAUUGCUCAUCUUUAAAAAUUAAUAGCCGAAAUUUCGGAUAAGCAGGUCACCUUAGUUAAUAAGAUGGCCGCUAAACCGGAAAGUUUUUAUGAAAAUAAAGAUGAAGAUCUAAAAGUUAUUGAUGUGUCUCCUAUUAAAUAUUUGUUUUGCAAUAUGAAUCUUGGUAAUGAUGGGACUGGAGAUGAGUCAACUUUAGUUAAAAGGCGUCCCAAUAAUUCGGAGUUUUUAGAUCAUGAUGCAAAAAUUGGUAAAAGUGGGAUUGAAGAGGUUAAAACUUUACAUAGCAAUGAACCCACUAUCUUGGAUUUCAAGGAAUUUAAUUAUGAUAAUUGCUCUUUGAUAGAUUGUAUUUCCUUGUUGCAAUCCGUGAUAAAUUCUCCUCAUGCUUAUAGUCAAAAUAAAGCCUUUACUAAACAUAUCGUUGAUGCUUUGAUGCAAUCUUAUGAAGAAAAACUUGAGUUGGAAGUUUCUAUCCCUAGAAAACUUUAUGAUGAGUGGGAACCUACAAUUAAAAUUAAAAUUAAAGAUCAUGAAUGCUAUGCUUUGUGUGAUUUGGGUGCUAGUGUUUCCACGAUCCCAAAAACUUUGUGUGAUUUGCUAGGUUUCCGUGAAUUUGAUGAUUGUUCUUUAAACUUGCAUCUUGCGGAUUCCACUAUCAAGAAACCUAUGGGAAGAAUUAAUGAUGUUCUUAUUGUUGUAAAUAGGAACUAUGUCCCCGUAGAUUUUAUUGUUCUUGAUAUAGAUUGCAAUCCUUUAUGUCCUAUUAUUCUUGGUAGACCUUUCCUUAGAACGAUUGGUGCAAUUAUUGAUAUGAAGGAAGGGAAUAUUAGAUUCCAAUUUCCGUUAAGGAAAGGCAUGGAACACUUCCCUAGAAAUAAGAUUAAAUUACCUUAUGAAUCUAUUAUGAGAGCCACUUAUGGAUUGCCUACCAAAGAUGGCAAUACCUAGAUAUAUCCUUACUUUUAUGCCUAGCUAGGGGCGUUAAACGAUAGCGCUUGUUGGGAGGCAACCCAAUUUUAUUUUAGUUCCUUGAUUUUUGUUCCUGUUUAGUAAUAAAUCUUUGAUCUAGCCUCUGGUUAGAUGUGUUUUUAUGUUUUAAUUAGUGUUUGUGCCAAGUGAAACCUAUAGGAUCUUCUUGGAUGAUAGUUAUUUGAUCUUGCUGAAAAUUCCAGAAACUUUCUGUUCACAAAAACAAUUGUUUAAAAUCACCAGAACGUGAUAAAAUACUGAUUCCCAUUGCAGUAGAUCAAUAAACAAAUUAUCUAGGUCUUCCUAUUUUGGUAGAUUUUUCUGAGUUCCAGAAGUUUGCGUUAGAUACAGAUUACUGCAGACUGUUCUGUUUUUGACAGAUUCUGUUUUUCGUGUGCUGUUUUCUUAUUUUGAUGAAUCUAUGGCUAGUAAAAGAGCUUAUAAACCAUAGAGAAGUUGGAAUACAGUGGGUUUAACACCAAUAUAAAUAAAGAAUGAGUUCAUUACAGUACCUUGAAGUGGUGUUUUGUUUUCUUUCGCUAACGGAGCUCACGAGAUUUUCUGUUAAGUUUUGUGUUGUGAAGUUUUCAAGUUUUGGGUAAAGAUUUGAUGGAUUAUGGAACAAGGAUUGGCAAGAGCCUAAGCUUGGGGAUUCCCAAGGCACCCCAAGGUAAAAUUCAAGUACAACCAAAAUCCUGAGCUUGGGGAUGCCCCGGAAGGCAUCCCCUCUUUCGUCUUCGUCUAUCAGUAACUUUACUUAGGGCUAUAUUUUUAUUCACCACAUGAUAUGUGUUUUUCUUGGAGCGUCUUGUAUGAUUUGAGUCUUUGCUUUUUAGUUUACCACAAACAUCCUUGCUGUACACACCUUUUGAGAGAGACACACAUGAUUCAGAAUUUGUUAGAAUACUCUAUGUGCUUCACUUAUAUCUUUUGAGCUAUAUAGUUUUUGCUCUAGUGCUUCACUUAUAUCUUUUAGAGCACGGUGCUGGUUUUAUUUUAUAGAAAUUAUUGAUCUCUCAUGCUUCACUUAUGUUAUUUUGAGAGUCUUAAACAGCAUGGUAAUUUGCUUUAUUUGUGAAAUUAAUCCGAAUGUGAUAGGGAUGAGCAUAAUAAAAACUUCCAUAUUGAGUUCAUUGAAUAUCAUGAGAAGUUUGAUACUUGAUAAGUGUUUUGAGAUAUAAAGGUGGUAAUAUUAGAGUGUGCUAGUUGAGUAAUUGUGAAAUUGAGAAAUACUUGUGUUAAGGUUGGCAAGUCCCGUAGCAUGCACGUAUGGUGAAAGUUGUGCGACAAUUUUUACACAUAAGGUGUUCUUUUAUUGCUUUCCUUAUGAGUGGCGGUCGGGGACGAGCGAUGGUCUUUUCCUACCAAUCUAUCCCUCUAGGGGCAUGCGUAGUAGUACUUUGCUUCAAGGGCUAAUAAACUUUUGCAAUAAGUAUAUGAGUUCUUUAUGACUAAUGUGAGUCCAUGGAUUAUACGCACUCUCAACCUUCCACAAUUUUCUAGCCUCUAUGGUACCGUGCAUUGCCCUUUCUCGCCUUGAGAGUUGGUGCAAACUUUGAAGGAAAUAUGCCCUAGAGGCAAUAAUAAAGUUAUUAUUUAUUUCCUUAUAUCAUGAUAAAUGUUUAUUAUUCAUGCUAGAAUUGUAUUAACCGGAAACAUAAUACAUGUGUGAAUACAUAGACAAACAGAGUGUCACUAGUAUGCCUCUACUUGACUAGCUCGUUGAUCAAAGAUGGUUAUGUUUCCUAGCCAUAGACAUGAGUUGUCAUUUGAUUAACGGGAUCACAUCAUUAGGAGAAUGAUGUGAUUGACUUGACCCAUUCCGUUAGCUUAGCACUCGAUCGUUUAGUAUGUUGCUAUUGCUUUCUUCAUGACUUAUACAUGUUCCUAUGACUAUGAGAUUAUGCAACUCCCGUUUACCGGAGGAACACUUUGUGUGCUACCAAACUUCACAACAUAACUGGGUGAUUAUAAAGGUGCUCUACAGGUGUCUCCGAAGGUACUUGUUGGGUUGGCGUAUUUCGAGAUUAGGAUUUGUCACUCCGAUUGUCGGAGAGGUAUCUCUGGGCCCUCUCGGUAAUGCACAUCACUCAAGCCUUGCAAGCAUUGCAACUAAUGAGUUAGUUGUGGGAUGAUGUAUUACGAAACGAGUAAAGAGACUUGCCGGUAACGAGAUUGAACUAGGUAUUGAGAUACCGACGAUCGAAUCUCGGGCAAGUAACAUACCGAUGACAAAGGGAACAACGUAUGUUGUUAUGCGGUCUGGCCGAUAAAGAUCUUCGUAGAAUAUGUGGGAGCCAAUAUGAGCAUCCAGGUUCCGCUAUUGGUUAUUGACCGGAGACGUGUCUCAGUCAUGUCUACAUAGUUCUCGAACCCGUAGGGUCCGCACGCUUAACGUUUCGAUGACAGUUAUAUUAUGACUUUAUAUGUUUUGAUGUACCGAAGGUUGUUUGGAGUCCCGGAUUUGAUCACGGACACGACGAGGAGUCUCGAAAUGGUCGAGACAUGAAGAUUGAUAUAUUGGAAGCCUAUAUUUGGAUAUCGGAAGUGUUCCGGGUGAAAUCGGGAUUUUACCGGAGUACUGAGGGGUUACCGGAACCCCCCGGGGGCUUAAUGGGCCAUAGUGGGCCUUUGUGGAGAAGAGGAGAGGCGGCCAGGGCAGGGCCGCGCGCCCCUCCCCCUAGUCCGAAUAGGACAAGAAGAGGGGGGCGGCGCCCCCCCCUUUCCUUCCUCUCUCCCUCCUCUUUCCCCUCCACUCCUAAUCCAACUAGGAAAAGGGAGGGAGUCCUACUCCCGGUGGGAGUAGGACUCCACCUGGCGCGCCCCUCCUGGCCGGCCGCACCUCCCCCCUUGCUCCUUUAUAUACGGGGGCAGGGGGCACCCUAGAGACACAACAAUUGAUCGUUUGAUCUUUUAGCCGUGUGCGGUGCCCCCCUCCACCAUAGUCCACCUCGAUAAUACUGUAGCGGUGCUUAGGCGAAGCCCUGCGUCGGUAGAACAUCAUCAUCGUCACCACAUCGUCGUGCUGACGAAACUCUCCCUCAACAGUCGGCUGGAUCGGAGUUCGAGGGAUGUCAUCGGGCUCAACGUGUGCUGAACUCGGAGGUGUCGUGCGUUCGGUACUUGAUCGGUCGGAUCGUGAAGACGUACGACUACAUCAACCGCGUUGUGCUAACGCUUCCGCUUUCGGUCUACGAGGGUACGUGGACAACACUCUGCCCUCUCGUUGCUAUGCAUCACCAUGAUCCUGCGCGUGCGUAGGAAUUUUUUUGAAAUUACUGCGUUCCCCAACAAACUUCGUCGGUGCAUCCAAACCCCGUGAUAUGAUACGUCUAUCACACAUAAACCUCCUUAUAUCUUCCUCAAAGCAGCCACCAUACCUACCUAUCAUGGCAUUUCCAUAGCCAUUCCGAGAUAUAUUGCCAUGCAGCUUACCACCGUUCUGUUUAUUAUGACACGCUCCAUCAUUGUCAUAUUGCUUUGCAUGAUCAUGUAGUUGACAUCGUAUUCGUGGCAAAGCCACCUUUCAUAAUUUUUUAUACAUGUCACUCUUGAUUCAUUGCAUAUCCCGGUACACCGCCGGAGGCAUUCACAUAGAGUCAUAUUUUGUUCUAAGAGUUGAGUUGUAAUUCUUGAGUUGUAAGUAAUAAAAGUGUGAUGAUCAUCAUUAUUAGAGCAUUGUCCCAUGUGAGGAAAGGAUGAUGGAGACUAUUAUUCCCCCACAAGUCGGGAUGAGAUUCUGGACUAAAAAAAAGGAGGCCAAAGAAAAAAAAGGCCCAACAAAAAAAGGAGAAAAAGAAAAAAUAAAAAAUGAGAGAAAAAGAGAGAAGGGACAAUGUUACUAUCCCUUUUCCACACUUGUGCUUCAAAGUAGCACCGUGAUCUUCAUGAUAGAGAGUCUCCUAUGUUGUCACUUUCAUAUACUAGUGGGAAUUUUUCAUUAUAGAACUUGGCUUGUAUAUUCCAAUGAUGGCCUUCCUCAAAAUGCCCUAGGUCUUCGUGAGCAAGCAAGUUGGAUGCACACCCACUUAGUUUCUUUUGUUGAGCUUUCAUAUAUUUAUAGCUCUAAUGCAUCUGUCGCAUGGUGAUCCCUACUCCUCUCAUUGACAUCAAUCGAUGGGCAUCUCCAUAGCCUAUUGAUUAGCCGCGUCAGUGUGAGACUUUCUACCUUUUUGUCUUCUCACAUAACCCCCAUCAUUAUACUUUAUUCCACCCAUAGGGCUAUAUCCAUGACUUGCGCUCAUGUAUUGAGUAAGGGUUGAAAAGGCUGAAGCGCGUUAAAAAUUAUGAACCAAUUGAUCGGCUUGUCAUCGGGGUUAUGCAUGAUGAGAAUGUUUUGUGUGACGAAAUUGAAGCAUGGCCUAACUAUAUGAUUUUGUAGGGAUGAGCUUUCUUUGGCUAUGUUAUUUUGAUAAGACAUAAUUGCUUGGUUAGCAUGUUUGAAGUAUUAUUGUUUUUAUGUCAACAUUAAACUUUUAUCUUGAAUCUUUCGGAUCUAAAUAUUCAUGCCACAAUAAAAAGAAUUACAUUGAAAAUUAUGCUAAGAAGCAUUCCACAUCAAAAAUUCUGUUUUUUUUAUCAUUUACCUACUCGAGACCGAGCAGGAAUUAAGCUUGGGGAUGCUUGAUACGUCUCCAACGUAUCUGUAAUAUUUGAUUGUUCCAUGCUAUUAUAUUAUCUGUUUUGGAUGUUCAAUGGGCUUUAUUAUACACUUCUAUAUUAUUUUUGGGACUAACCUAUUAACCGAAGGCCCAUCCCAAUUGUUGUUUUUUGCCUAUUUCAGUGUUUCGAAGGAAAGGAAUAUCAAACGGGGUCCAAACGAAAUGAAACCUUCGGGAACGUGAUUUUCUGAACAAACGUGAUCCAGAGGACUUGGAGUGGACUUCAAGCAAUCAACGAGGAAGCCACGAGGCAGGGGGCGCGCCUACCCCCCCUGGGCGCGCCCUCCACCCUCAUGGGCCCCUCGUAGCUCCACCGACCUACUUCUUCCUCCUGUAUAUACCUACAUACCCCGAAAACAUCAGCGGAGGAGCCAAAACCCUAUUUCCACCGCCGCAACCUUCUGUACCUGUGAGAUCCCAUCUUGGGGCCUUUUCCGGCGCUCCGCCGAAGAGGGCAUCGAUCACGGAGGGCUUCUACACCAACACCAUAGCCUCUCCGAUGAUGUGUGAGUAGUUUACUUCAGACCUUCGGGUCCAUAGUUAUUAGCUAGAUGCCUUCUUCUCUCUCUUUGGAUCUCAAUACAAAGUUCUCCUCGAUUCUCUUGGAGAUCUAUUUGAUGUAAUCUUCUUUUGCGGUGUGUUUGUCGAGAUCCAAUGAAUUGUGGGUUUAUGAUCAAGAUUAUCUAUGAACAAUAUUUGAAUCUCCUCUGAAUUCUUUUAUGGAUGAUCUAUUAUCUUUGCAAGUCUCUUCGAAUUAUCAGUUUGGUUUGGCCUACUAGAUUGAUCUUUCUUGCAAUGGGAGAAGUGCUUAGCUUUGGGUUCAAUCUUGCGGUGCUCGAUUCCAGUGACAGUAGGGGAAACGACACGUAUUGUAUUGUUGCCAUCGAGGAUAAAAAGAUGGGGUUUAUAUAAUAUUGCAUGAGUUUAUCCCUCUACAUCAUGUCAUCUUGCUUAAAGCGUUACUCCAUUCUUAUGAACUUAAUACUCUAGAUGCAUGCUGGAUAGCGGUCGAUGUGUGGAGUAAUAGUAGUAGAUGCAGGCAGGAGUCGGUCUACUUGUCACGGACAUGAUGCCUAUAUACAUGAUCAUACCUAGAUAUUCUCAUAACUAUGCUAAUUCCAUCAAUUGCUCGACAGUAAUUUGUUCACCCACCGUAAUACUUAUGCUCUUGAGAGAAGCCACUAGUGAAACCUAUGGCCCCGGGGUCUAUGCUCUAUCAUAUUAAUCUACGUUAUUUCUAUUACCAUUUAUUUUGCUUUCUUUACUUUUAGUCUUUAUCAUAAAAAUACCAAAAAUAUUAUCUUAUCAUCUCAAUCAGAUCUCACUUUUGCAAGUGGCCGUGAAGGGAUUGACAACCCCUUUAUCGCGUUGGUUGCAAGGUUCUUAUUUGUUUGUGUAGGUGCGUGGGACUUGAGCGUGGUCUCCUACUGGAUUGAUACCUUGGUUCUCAAAAACUGAGGGAAAUACUUACGCUACUUUACUGCAUCACCCUUUCCUCUCAAGGGAAAACCAAUGCAGUGCUCAAGAGGUAGCACGACCCCUAUCCUCAGCGCUCGGGUGGCCGAGGCCAUGGGCGCGGGCGUGGUGGCGGCAACGGAACGCGUUCGUAGACCCCAAGGUGCCAGAUCUGCGGGAAGCCCGGACACACAGCAAAAGAUUGCUGGUACCGGUAUGACGAUGAUGAUGAUUCUCAAGAUGAUGACAAGGUAGCUGCCGCCGCUGACGUUUCCUACGGUAUUGACACCAACUGGUACGUUGAUAGCGGGGCCACAAACCACAUCACGAAUGAGCUUGAGAAUGUAACCAUGAAGGAAAAAUACCACGGAAAAGAUCAAAUCCUUACUGCCAGCGGAGAAGGUAUGGGAAUAAGUCACAUUGGUCAUUCUAUAUUUCGUACCCCUAGUCGCAAACUACACAUUAAUAAAAUCUUGCAUGUCCCUAGUGCACACAAAAAUAUUCUUUCCGUCCAUAGAAUUCCCAUUGAUAAUCAUGUUUUCCUCGAAUUUCAUCCUUUUUUCUUUUUGAUCAAGGAUCAGGCAACGAGGAAAAUCCUCUAUCGAGGUAGAUGUGUUCGAGGGCUCUACCCGUUGAUUCCGGAGUUUAGAAGAUUCAAUAAACAAGCUUGUUGUGCUAUCAAGCUUUCGUCCACACGAUGGCACGAUCAUUUAGGACAUGCCUCUUUUUCUUUAGUUGAAAAGUUGCUUAGGAAAAAAAGCUCUCGUUUGUUGGUGAGCGUCAUGUUGAAACUAUUUGUGAUUCAUGUCAACGAGCUAAAAGUCAUCAAUUGACGUAUCCCAUCUCAACUAGUAUUUCUAACAAACCGUUGCAACUCAUUUUUUCUAAUGUUUGGGGUCUAGCCCCCACCUCUGUUGGUAGACAUACAUAUUACGUCAGUUUUUGAUGACCAUUGUAAAUUUUCGUGGAUCUAUCUCCUCAAAAAGAGAUCAGAUGUGUUUCAAGUUUUCCGAAACUUUCAAGCUCUUGUUGAACGCAAGUUUGAUAGCAAAAUUAUCGCUGUACAAUCCGAUUGGGGAGGGGAAUACGAAAAGCUAAAUUCCUUCUUCCAAAAGCUUGGCAUCUCUCACCACGUGUCAUGCCCGCAUGCUCACCAACAAAACGGUUCCGCUGAACGCAAGCACAAGCACAUUGUUGAGGUUGGCCUUGCCCUUUUGGCAGGUGCCUCCAUGCCUCUUAAGUUUUGGGACGAAGCGUUUCUCACAGCUGUUCACAUUAUCAACAUGCUACCCAGUCGAGUUGAAAGUGCAACUAUCCCUGGGUGGUUUUGGUAAUUACUAACAACAUAUAGCUCAUUGAACUAAUGCUAUUCAAAGAUGAUCAUUUCAGAAAGUUCAGUGAUUGGCAUGGCAUGGAUUAGGAAUGUGGACCCCUCAAAAUGCUAAGGACACAUAUUGGAUCAAGCUCAAGACUCUACAUUUUCAUUUUAGUGAUCCAAGAUCACAUUGAGUCCAUAGAAAAAUCCAAUACUAUUAAAAGGGGAUGAGGUGUUGCUUAAUGGCUUGCUUGCUCAAAAUGCUUAGUGAUAUGAUCCAAAAACCCUCAACCACUUUCUCAUAUCCACAUAUGUCCCAAACCAAAAGUCAAACUCGGCCCUACCGAUUUGAUCUAUCUGGUGCCACCGAGUUCAUUUGACAUAGCCACUGCCAGAAACCCUAGUCACUUUGGUCUCACUCAUAGGGAUCUCGGUCGCACCGAGAUGGGAUUACAAACUCUCGGUUUCCCUUCGUAACGUUUCGGUCUAAGCGAGAUGAGCGAUCGGUCCCACCGAGUCCACGAUGCAAACUCUCUGUUUCCCCUUCGUAACAUUUCGGUCUCAUCGAAAUGAGAGAAUCGGUCCCACUGUUUUGCCUGACCAACUCUCUGGUUAGCUUAUUACCAAAGUCGGUCCCACUGAGUUUGAGUAAUCGGUCUCACCAAGAUUACGUUAUGCCCUAACCCUAAUGAAAUCGGUCCCACCGAGUUGACAUGUCGGUCCCAUCGAAAAGCCUAACGUUCACAUUUUGAACCGAAUCGGUCUGACCGAGUUUUCCGAUUCGGUCCCACCGAGUUUGGUGAAUUGUGUGUAACGGUUAGAUUUUGUGUGGAGGCUAUAUAUACCCCUCCACCCACUCUUCAUUCAUGGAGAAAGCCAUCAGAACAUACCUACACUUCCAGCAUACAUUUUCUGAGAGAGAACCACCUACUCAUGUGUCGAGACCAAGAUAUUCCAUUCCAACCACAAGAAUCUUGAUCUCUAGCCUUCCCCAAGUUGCUUUCCACUCAUAUCAUCUUUCCACCAAAUCCAAAUCUGUGAGAGAGAGUUGAGUGUUGGGGAGACUACCAUUUGAAGCACAAGAGCAAGGAGUUCAUCAUCAACACACCAUCUAUUACCUUUUGGAGAGUGGUGUCUCCUAGAUUGGUCAGGUGUCACUUGGGAGCCUCCGUCAAGAUUGUGGAGUUGAACCAAGGAGUUUGUACGGGCAAGGAGAUCGCCUACUUCGUGAAGAUCUACCCUAGUGAGGCAAGUCCUUCGUGGGCGAUGGCCAUGGUGGGAUAGACAAGGUUGCUUCUUCGUGGACCCUUCGUGGGUGGAGCCCUCCGUGGACUCGCGCAACCGUUACCCUUCGUGGGUUGAAGUCUCCAUCAACGUGGAUGUACGAUAGCACCACCUAUCGGAACCACGGAAAAAAUCUCCGCGUCUAAAUUGCGUUUGCUCCCUCCAAACUCCUCCCUUUACCUUCAUGUGCAAUGUUUUACAUCCGCUUCUAUACUCUUAGACUUGCAUGUGUAGGUUGAUUGCUUGACUUGUGCUAAGUUGCUAUAACCUGCCAAGACAUAAAAUUGGGAAAAAUAUAGAUUUUUAUUUGGUCAAGUAGUCUAAUCACCCGGCCUCUAGACAUACUUUCGAUCCUACAAGUGGUAUCAGAGCUUUGGUCUCCAUUUGCCUUGAUUUCCAUAGCUUUUAGUGAUCAUAGCCUUGGUUUCACAACCUAGGAGAGUAUGGCGUCUAGCGAGGGAAAUUACCACCAUAGAGGUUGAUACGUCCAUUUUGCAUCAUGCUUUUAUAUCGAUAUUUAUUGCAUUAUGGGCUAUUAUUACACAUUAUGUCACCAUACUUAUGCCUAUUCUCUCUUAUUUUACAAGGUUUACACGAAGAGGGAGAAUGCCGGCAGGUGGAAUUCUGGGCUUGAAAAGGAGGAAAUAUUAGAUACCUAUUCUGCACAAAUCCAAAAGUCCUGAAACUUCACGGAGGCACGUUUUGGAAUUGAUAAAAAAUAUUGGCGAAAGAAUCAACCAGAGGGGCCCCACACCCUGGCUACGAGGGUCGGGGCGCGCCCCCUGUCUCGUGGGCCCCCUGCCAGGCCUCCGGUGUCCAUCUUCUGCUAUAUGAAGUCUUUCAUCCUGGAAAAAAUCAGAAGCAAGCUUUUGGGACGAAACACCGCCGCCAUGAGGCGGAACCAAUCUAGGGCUCCGACGGAGCUGUUCUGCCGGGGAAACAUCCCUCCGGGAGGGGGAAAUCAUCACCAUUGUCAUCACUAUCGAUCCUCUCAGUGGGAGGGGGUCAAUCUCCAUCAACAUCUUCACCAGCACCAUCUCCUCUAAAACCCUAGUUCAUCUCUUGUAUCCAAUCUUUGUCCCAAAACCUCAGAUUGGUACCUGUGGGUUGCUAGUAGUGUUGAUUACUCCUUGUAGUUGAUGCUAGUUGGUUUAUUUGGUGGAAGAUCAUAUGUUCACAUCCUCUAUGCAUAUUAAUACCUCUCUGAUUAUGAACAUGAAUAUGAUUUGUGAGUAGUUACGUUUGUUCCUGAGGACAUGGGAGAAGUCUUGCUAUAAGUAGUCAUGUCAAUUUCGUAUUCGUUCGAUAUUUUGAUGAGAUGUAUGUUGUCUUUCCUCUAGUGGUGUUAUGUGAAUGUCGACUACAUGACACUUCACCAUUGUUUGGGCCUAGAGGAAGGCAUUUGGAAGUAAUAAGUAGAUGAUGGGUUGCUAGAGUGACAGAAGGUUAAACCCUAGUUUAUGCAUUGCUUCGUAAGGGGCUGAUUUGGAUCCAUAUGUUUCAUGCUAUGGUUAGGUUUACCUUAAUACUACAUUUGUAGUUGUGGAUGCUUGCAAUAGGGGUUAAUCAUAAGUGGGAUGCUUGUCCAAGGAAGGGCACUACCCAAGCACUGGUCCACCCACAUAUCAAAUUAUCAAAGUAACGAACGUGAAUCAUAUGAGCGUGAUGAAAACUAGCUUGACGAUAAUUCCCAUGUGUCCUAGGGAGCGUUUUCCUUCAUAUAAGAGUUUGUCCAGGCUUGUCCUUUGCUACAAAAAGGAUUGGGCCAUCUUGCUGCACCUUAUUUACUUUCAUUACUUGUUGCCCGUUACAAAUUACCUUAUCACAAAACUAUCUGUUACCGAUAAUUUCAGUGCUUGUAGAGAAUAUCUUACUAAAAACCGCUUGUCAUUUCCUUCUGCUCCUCGUUGGGUUCAACACUCUUACUUAUCGAAAGGACUACGAUAGAUCCCCUACACCUGUGGGUCAUCAAGACUCUUUUCUGGCGCCAUUGCCGGGGAGUGAAGCGCCUUUGGUAAGUGGAAUUUGGUAAGGAAAAACUUAUAUAGUGUGCUGAAAUUUACUGUCACUUGUUACUAUGGAAAGUAAUCCUUUGAGGGGCUUGUUCGGGGUAUCUUCACCCCGACCAGUAGAGAAAAGAGUUGAUCCUCAACCUACUGAACCUACUGAAAAUGUUUACUUUGAAAUUCCUUCGGGUAUGAUAGAGAAACUGCUAGCUAAGCCUUUUACAGGAGAUGGAACAUUGCAUCCCGAUUUGCACCUAAUAUAUGUGGAUGAAGUUUGUGGAUUAUUUAAGCUUGCAGGUAUGCCCGAGGAUGUUAUCAAGAAGAAGAUCUUCCCUUUAUCUUUGAAGGGAAAGGCAUUGACAUGGUUUAGGCUAUGUGAUGGGAUCAUGGAACUACAACCGAUUGAAAUUGGAAUUUCAUCAGAAGUUUUAUCCUAUGCAUCUUGUACAUCGUGAUCAUAAUUAUAUAUAUAAUUUUUGGCCUCGUGAAGGAGAAAGCAUUGCUCAAGCUUGGGGGAGGCUUAAGUCAAUGUUAUACUCAUGCCCCGAUCAUGAGCUCUCAAGAGAAAUUAUUAUUCAAAAAUUUUAUGCUCGGCUUUCUCUCAAUAAUCGCUCAAUUAUCGAUACUUCUUGUACUGGUUCCUUUAUGAUGAAGACUAUUGAAUUCAAAUGGGAUCUAUUGGAAAGAAUUAAAUGCAACUCUGAAGAUUGGGAUCUCGACGAAGGUAAGGAGUCAGGUAUAACACCUAAGUUUGAUUGUGUUAAAUCUUUUAUGGAUACCGAUGUUUUCCGUGAAUUUAUGUAACAUCCCAAAUUUUCAAUUUGGAAUGUUUUACAAUUAUUAGCUAAGCAUCUAUGCAUUUUGAUUGAAAUUGAGUGGCAUUUGAAAAUUUCAGAGGCAGUUGAGUUUUUUGUUGUGAAUUUGAACUUGAUUUGGCAUUGAAAUUUAUUUCAAAUAUCCCUGACAAAUACUUGAUCAAAAGUAUGAGAGGAGCUAACAUGACACUCCAAAAAAAUGUUGGAAGAAAAGUAUUGCCAAAAAGUUUGAAUUUAAAUUUGAAUUUUAUUUGGGAUUUCCAGAAAAUUGUUUUUUUUUAGUUUGAGAUUUGCCCCUGGAAAAAUGUCCAUGUUGUAGGAUUAAUUCCCCUGAGAAUUUUGAUAUAUAUAUGUCCUAUAUAAAAAUAAUAUAUAUUUUUAUAUGUUUUCUCUUCUCUCUAAUUCAAAAAAAAAGAGGCAAAGCCCCAGGCGCCAGCCAGGCCAACCGGCCCAGCCAGCAGGGCAGGCACCAGCCCGCCAGCGCCCGAGCCACGGGCCAGUAGGCCGCCAGGCGAGGCGAGCGCUCGAUCCCCACGCUCCCUUCGCUCGAUCCCCUCACGUAACUCCCCCUCCCUCACGUAAUCCCCUCUAUCAAUUUUUUUCCCUCUGAUCGCUGGACCCCACAGCAUCAUCUCCUUUGUCCCGAUACUCCCGUGCCCGUAUCUCGCUCCGUUCGACGCCGGCAGCGUCCGCCCCUCUCCAAAACCCUAGCUAAAGCCUUCCCCUCGCCCAAGUAACACGUCCUAUAAGUAGCCCUACCCGUCCUCUCGCGAUCCCCUUUAAAAAACCCUCUCUAAAACCCUCCCCAGCCGCCACCAUCUCCGUUCCGAUCUCGCCCCAGCCACCGAAGUUCACCGCCGUUCUGCUUCACCGGUGAGCAUCCCCAGCCUCUCUAACCUCUGCUAUCGGUCUAGCCCGACCUCACAAAGCUUUUUGACAUGUUUUUGUUCGUCUUCGUCAUCUACAGAGGCCACUCCCAACCCCGCAUGCUCCACCGGAGCACCGAGCUCCACCGUCUCGUCUUCGUCGUCUCCGCCGUCCCCGACAUCCCCUCAGCUCACCGUCCACAGAAAAUCGGACGCCCCCGAACACCCGCAUCACCUGGACAUCCUCGCCGACGCCGCCGACGACCGGAGCCCCGCCGCCCACCGGCCUCUUCUUCCCUGCCACGCCCGUUUCCUCUCUGUAAGCACGAGCGCUCCUCUAUUUUUUUUCUUUUAGAUCGAACCGUUAGAUCGGUUUAGUAACUCGCUUUUUUAUUGGUUUUAGUGUACGGUUUUUUUAGGUUUAGAUUUAAACCGGUUCACUGGUUUCUUUUAGUUAUACACUGUACGCGUAUGUUAGUUAACGACCGGGCACGGUUUAGUUUCAGAUCGCACCACCCCGAGCCCAAUAGCGCCCAUUAGUUUUUUUUCUGUUAUUUACGUUCUGUUUUAAAAACAGAAAAGUUCCAAUCUUGUAAAAUCGGUUUCUCUUAGGUUUUUUUAAUAUUUUUAGUUGAUUCUUUUUUUGUUAGUUUGCAAAUUUGUUGUAGUUUCUGUAGAAAAUAUGUUUAGCCAUGUUUAAAUUAUUAGAAAUAGUUUUAUAUUAGAUUUAGACUGAUUAGUUUUUCUGCCAUAAAUUGAGUUAGGAUUAUUAUUUUUUAGUGAUUCUUUUUUCUACUGCUUAGUUUUCCAUGCCUAGCAGUAGGAACUUGUUUGGGUAUUUUUUAGAUUUAAUAAACAAUUAGUUUUAUGUCGAAAUCAAGUUUUUCUUGUUUAUUUAGCUAGCUACUGUUUUCCUACUGUUCUAGUUAGUAAAUAAUUUUAUCUUUAUUAUGUUAUAGUUUAUUUUAGAUUAGUUUCUGUAGCUACAGAGGAGGAACUUUUAUUUACGGUAGAAUAAAAAAAUUUAUUUUAUUUUCUUUGCUAGGAUUGUUUUAGGCAUAAUAGGAGUUCUAUAAUAGCUUUUGAUGUGAUUCUUUUUGCUACUAGUUUGUAUGAUGUUUUCCCUUCUGUUAGUUAGCAAAACCAAUGCUUAGGUUCUGGUAAGAAAAGUUUUAGUUGUGUAAAACUAUUUCUUAGUUGUUGCUUGAUAUGAUGAAAACCUUGAUUUGCUUUCUCCGAGUUUUUCUUUGGUUUUGGUUUGAGUGCUUGGGUGUUUUACUUCAACUUGCUGUUAUGUUAUAUUGUGCUAUACUUAUUUGUGCUAUUGUUUGACUCGGUAGAAUUUCCGGAGUGCGAAGCCUGCUAUUACGAGUCGCUAGCUUUCGAAGACCGUCAGCCAGGCAAGUCAUUUGAUCAUGUUUUUACAAUACCUAUGAUUUUAUUGCAUUAGAGUUAUACCUCCCCACCAUGCAUGCAGUAGGAGAAUUUUGUUAAGUUAUGUUCCUGAGUAGUAUCAUGAGGUAGGAUGAACCCUUCUCCCUUGUUACCGAUGCCCGGGAUGAUGUAGUUUAUUUUGCUAUGCUCGUAGACGGGGUUGGUUGAGUGAUUCAUAAGGGAGAUGCGAGAGUCAAGAUGAUGAAAACCCCAUGACAUCAAGCUCAAGAAGGACUUCAAAAUUCACUACUGGGUGGAGGACGGUUGACGGGCACCCUGGAGAAACCAGCGGAUGGCCGGGAUGCAUGGAGAAGCGCCAUGACAUCUUGCGGAAAGCUUCACCCAGCCACGAAGAGACGGAUGGAUACCCCAUUGACCGGAAGCUUACCUGUGCAGCCGCAAGCCAUUAUGGGCUCUGGCUGGGUUGACCCUAGGCGUGACUCUGGCCGGACGGUGCUACGGGAUGUAGAAGAACGGUAGGAUUGGAUGGGCACCGGCAGUGGCCCAGAGGAACUCUUCGGAAGACCCUGUUUCGUUCGUCCCGUCUUCAAACACCAGGCAAUGCGAAGACUUAAAGGAGGGAACGAUUCUUGCGGGUAAAGUGCACAAACCUCUGCAGAGUAACAACCUAAUCGAUUAGCCGUCUCCCCGGUUACGGACAAAUGAGCCUCUGGGAUUGGAGUAUUUCGGAAAUCUUAACACCGAACUUAAUAAAUUAAUUGAGGGGUUAUUUAAUAUUUGGGAAUGAGACAUUGGUUGGCGGAACCAUCUCAAUAACUACCAACAUUUUGUAGUAAUUGCAAACAAGUCCUUGUUGUAGGAAAAAACCGGCUUUUUCGCAAAACAAUGAAACUUAGAGCCCCACAGCCAAAUUGCAUAUAGUAUUAGUAAUUUUAUUGUUGUUCUCUCUUCAUGACUUGACGGCAUAUUCAAAAUGCUGACCUACACGGCUGCAACGUCUUAUGUUGCAGAGGAAUUUUCCGAUCAGGAGUGAGGCUACGAUCCACGCUUGGCGAUUGCCCUAUGGAGUCGGAUGGACUCGCUAUUCGUCUAUGUUUCCGCAGCUUUAUUUAGUUUAUUUCUCAUGAGUUGGCCUUUGGCCGAAUUUAUUAUGAUGUAAUAAAGACUCGAUAUGAGAAUCGUGUAAUAAAUUCAGGUGUGAUUGAACUUUGAAUCUUUGCAUCAAUGUACUGUGUGUGCCAGCAUGAGCUUGGGAUGGUACAGCUACACAGAGACUUGACCGAUUUCGGGUCGGGUUGUUACAGAGAUGGUAUUCAGAGCACACGCUGACCAUAGGACGUAACCCCUAGGAUCGGAAAGCCAUAGGAAGAGACUAUUUUAUUUUAUGUCCUUAUCAUUCCGUAAUUCUCCCCUGUUCAUUUCUGACUUCUCUCCGAUUUUCAACAUUCUAGAUGGCCGCCGAGUUCACCCCAGUUCUGCUACCGGAGUUUUGCCAGCCAGAUGAGACGAUGCUUCUCGGCAAGAAGCUGGUUCAAAUCGUGAAGAAGCUGAAGAUUGCUCUGCCCUCAAUCACCGGGAAGCCUAUCAAUGCACUUCCGACGGAUACCCGCUACAGGAUUAUGGUGCACAUUCCAGGGAGGACCUUCAGAGGACAUUUAGAGCCCAUUGACUUUGAGUUUACCGAUUUCACUUGGAUCCUCGUAAGAGACAUGGCGAUUUAUCGUGCACUUGGACAUCUCUGAGAAGAGUACAGGGCCGAGCUCGACCCAUUAGACCUCGCCAUGAUUUCUCGCAGAGCUAGGAAUGGAGAUAUCAUCCGUACCGUAGAGGACGACUCCAUUCUUUCAUAUGUCCAAGACUUGGAGAGUCUCAUCAGGAACCGGGAAAUCCAGACGCGUCGAAACUUGAAGGUACACAGGAGGUUGUUGUUUCGUGAACUGGAACUGGAGGAGAAAGCACACGCGGACUUCCUUGAACAUGAAGAAGAAGUCAAGGAUUUUAUGGAUAGAAUCGAGGUCCGGGAUAAAUAUAUUGCCACACUGGAGGAGAAGAUAGACCUGGGAGAAGACCUUUUUCCGAGUGGAGAUGAUGGACCCCUCGUGAGCAAUGACCAGGAUUAUGAAGAGAGCUCCACCGAAGGAAGCCGCAAGAGGAGAGGCCGCACCAGAGGACGCCGCACCGGAGGACGCAAGAAUAAUUGAUGAAGACAUUUAGUCGACCGCCAUGUUAUUUUAUUUUUUCGUCGAUCAGUUAGGCCAUUAUUUUCAAUUAGUCGUGAGAUUUUUGUAAUCCCAGAUUGAACCUUGUUUGAGAUGAAUGAAUAAAUGAUUGGUGUGAUUUUGAUUGUGCAUUCAUAUGGGUAGUGCUAUUUUCUCAUUAGACCCUUGUUCUAUUCUAAUUUCUCAUCCACUCCAAAACACCAGAUGCCUCCGAGACAUGACCCCGGUUUCAACUUUCCGCCGGAGCUCACCCAGCUGAUCCAGCAGCAGAAUGCCCUGAUGCAGAUGCUCAUCCAGAACCAGAACAACAACAACAACAACAACAAUCCACCGCCACCACCCCUGCUGACAACUUGACCCGCUUCCUAAGGCUGAAUCCGCCAGUGUUCUCUAGCAGCACUGAGCCAAUUGUGGCCGAUGAUUGGCUCCGCAAGGUCGGAAGGGAGUUAGCCACUGCUGGAUGCACAGAUGUAGAGAAGGUGCGCUUUGCCGCACAUCAGCUUGAUGGACCUGCAGCUUCUUGGUGGGAGAACUACACCGCCACUUAUCCGGCCGCCACCGUGACAUGGGCUGAGUUCCAGCAGGCCUUCCGCACCGCUCAUGUCUCAGCUGGAGCCAUGAGUCUGAAGAAGCGUGAGUUCCGCAACUUACGCCAGGGGAACCGUACUGUGUGGCAGUACGUGGAUGAGUUCAGCAAAUUAUCUCGCUAUGCCCCAGAUGAUGUGGCCACAGAUGCCGCAAAGCAAGAGAAGUUUCUCGAGGGACUCAAUGAUGAGCUAGGAAUGCAGCUAAUGGUGGCUACCUUCAACAACUACCAGGAGUUGGUAGACAAGGCCACCAUACUUGAAGGCAAGCAGCAGCAGAUUGAUAGCCGCAAGUGGAAAUAUGGCCAGGGAAAGUACAACUCCGGAGCUCAGCAGAAGCCCCGCUAUACCCCAUACUCGGGAGGACAUACCCAUCACACCCAUGGAGGACAUAAUCAUGGAGGACAUAACCAUGGAGGGAAUGGGAACAAUCGCAACCACGACAACAACUCCAAGUCAGGCAAUGGAGGCAAUGGCAACCAGCACCGUCCUGCUCCGGCUCAGAAGGAUCUGAGUCAUAUCACCUGUUUCAAGUGCCAGAAGACAAGACACUAUGCCACCGAUUGUCCGGAGGCCAAGCAGAGGAAUGGAAACGGCAACGGCAACGAAAGCUCAACAAAGAAGCCCAACCCUUUUCCUCGUGCUCAGGUGAAUCACCUUGACGUGGAGGAUGUCUAUGAUCAGCCAGACACUGUGGUUGGUAAGUUUUUAUUAAAUUCACAUCCAGUAUUGGUACUCUUUGAUUUCGGUGCAACGCAUUCAUUCAUAUCAAGGGUAGUUGUGGAAAAGUACGGGUUGCCCACUAGAACCCUUAGAACCCCUCUGCAGGUCACUUCCCCAGGAGGAGAGAUGACGGCAGGCUUAGGCUGUCAUGCUAAAACUUCAACUGUGCUUCGUAAGAGUAAUACUAGAACACCUACACCCCCUGAGCAAAUUAAAGUUGAACCUAGUAUUGCUAUGGUUAAAGAUCUCUUGGCCGAUAAUAUUGAUGGGCAUGUUAUUUACUUCAUUGAUGAAGCUCCUAGAAUUGCUAGACCUGAUACUAAAAAUAAACAUAGACCUAUUGUAGGCAUGCCUAUUAUUUCUGUUAAAAUAGGAGAUCAUUGCUACUAUGGCUUAUGUGAUAUGGGUGCUAGUGCAAGUGCAAUACCUCAUUCCUUAUAUAAAGAAAUUAUGCAUGAUAUUGCACCUGCUGAGAUAGAGGAAAUUGAUGUUACAAUUAAGCUUGCCAAUAGAGACACUAUUUCACCAGUUGGGAUUGUUAGAGAUGUUGAAGUCUUGUGUGGGAAAGUUAAAUAUCCUGCUGAUUUUCUUGUUCUUGGUUCCCCACAAGAUAACUUUUGUCCCAUUAUAUUUGGUAGACCCUUCUUGAAUACUGUUAAUGCUUGGAUAGACUGCAAAAGGAUGUUGUUACUAUUGGUUUGGGGGAUAUGUCUCAUGAGUUUAAUUUUGCUAAGUUUCGUAGACAACCCCAUGAUAAAGAAUUGCCUAGUAAAGAUGAAAUUAGUGGUCUUGCUUCUAUUGCUGUGCCUCCUAAUGAUCCGUUAGAACAAUAUUUGCUAGACCAUGAGAAUGAUAUGUUUAUGAAUGAAAGAAGGGAAAUAGAUGAAGUAUUCUUUAAACAGGGACCUAUUUUGAAACACAACUUGCUUGUUGAAAUCCUAGGGGAUCCUCCUCCACCCAAGGGUGAUCCCGUGUUUGAGCUUAAACCAUUACCCGAUACUCUUAAAUAUGCCUAUCUUGAUGAGAAAAAGAUAUAUCAUGUUAUUAUUAGUGCUAACCUUUCAGAGCAUGAAGAAAAGAAAUUAUUGAAAACUCUGAAGAAGCACCGUGCUGCUAUUGGAUACACUCUUGAUGAUCUUAAGGGCAUUAGUCCCACUCUAUGUCAGCACAAAAUAAAAUUGGAGAAAGACGCUAAACCGGUUGUUGGUCACCAACGACGGUUAAAUCCUAAGAUGAAAGAAGUGGUAAGAAAAGAAAUACUAAAGCUUCUGGAGGCAGGUAUAAUUUAUCCCGUUGCUGAUAGUCAGUGGGUAAGUCUUGUCCAUUGUGUCCCUAAGAAGGGAGGCAUUACUGUUGUCCCUAAUGAUAAAGAUGAAUUGAUCCCACAAAGAAUCGUUACAGGUUAUAGAAUGGUAAUUGAUUUUCGCAAACUAAAUAAAGCUACUAAAAAGGAUCAUUACCCUUUACCUUUUAUUGAUCAAAUGCUAGAAAGAUUAUCCAAACAUACGCAUUUUUGCUUUCUAGAUGGUUAUUCUGGUUUCUCUCAAAUACUUGUGUCAAAAGAGGAUCAAGAAAAGACCACUUUUACUUGCCCUUUCGGUACCUUUGCUUAUAGACGUAUGCCUUUUGGUUUAUGCAAUGCACCUGCUACCUUUCAAAGAUGCAUGAUGGCUAUAUUCUCUGAUUUUUGUGAAAAGAUUGUUGAGGUUUUCAUGGAUGAUUUCUCUGUAUAUGGAACUUAUUUUGAUGAUUGCUUGAGCAACCUUGGUCGAGUUUUGCAGAGAUGUGAAAAAACUAAUCUUGUCUUGAAUUGGGAGAAGUGCCACUUUAUGGUUAACGAAGGUAUUGUCCCGGGGCACAAAAUUUCUGAAAGAGGUAUUGAAGUCGAUAAAGCUAAAGUUGAUGCUAUUGAAAAGAUGUCGUGUCCUAAGGACAUUAAAGGUAUAAGAAGUUUCCUUGGUCAUGCCGGUUUUUAUAGGAGGUUCAUUAAAGGCUUCUCAAAAAUUUCUAGGCCUCUGACUAAUCUCUUACAAAAAUAUGUUCCUUUUAUCUUUGAUGAUGAUUGUGUAGAAGCAUCUAAAAUACUUAAGAAAGCCUUGAUUCUGCACCUAUUGUUCAGCCACCUAAUUGGAAUUUACCCUUUGAAUUAUGUGUGAUGCUAGUGAUUAUGUUGUAGGUGUUGUUCUAGGACAAAGAGUUGAUAAGAAAUUAAAUGUUAUUCAAUAUGCCAGUAAAACUCUAGACAGUGCCCAGAGAAAUUAUGCUACUACUGAAAAAUAAUUUUUAGCAGUUGUAUUUGCUUGUGAUAAGUCCCGACCUUAUAUUGUUGAUUCUAAACUAACUUUUCAGACUGAUCAUGCUGCUAUUAAAUAUCUUAUAAAAAAGAAAGAUGCUAAACCUAGACUUAUUAGAUGGGUUCUCUUGCUGCAAGAAUUCGAUCUGCAUAUUAUUGAUAGAAAGGGAGCUGAGAACCCCGUUGCAGACAACUUAUCUAGGUUAGAGAAUGUUCUUGAUGACCCACUACCUAUUGAUGAUAGCUUCCCUGAUGAACAAUUAGCUGUCAUAAAUGCUUCUCGUACUGCUCCAUGGUAUGCUGAUUAUGCUAAUUACAUUGUUGCUAAAUUUAUACGACCUAGUUUCACAUACCAGCAAAACAAAAAGUUCUUCUAUGAUUUAAGACAUUACUUCUGGGAUGACCCACACCUUUAUAAAGAAGGAGUAGAUGGUGUUAUUAGACAUUGUGUACCUGAGCAUGAACAGGAACAGAUCCUACACAAGUGUCACUCCGAGGCUUAUGGAGGACACCACGCUGGAGAUAGAACUGCACAUAAGGUAUUGCAAUCCGGUUUUUAUUGGCCUACUCUCUUCAAAGAUACCCGUAAGUUUGUCUUGUCUUGUGAUGAAUGUCAAAGAAUCGGUAAUAUUAGUAGACGUCAAGAAAUACCUAUGAAUUAUUCACUUGUUAUUGAACCAUUUGAUGUUUGGGGCUUCGAUUAUAUGGGACUGUUUCCUUCCUCUAAUGGGUAUACACAUAUUUUAGUUGCUGUUCAUUACGUUACUAAGUGGGUAGAAGCUACUCCAACUAGUAGUGCUGAUCAUAACACCUCUAUUAAGAUGCUUAAAGAAGUUAUUUUUCCGAGGUUUGGAGUCCCUAGAUAUUUAAUGACUGAUGGUGGUUCACACUUUAUUCAUGGUGCCUUUCGUAAAAUGCUUGCUAAGUAUGAUGUUAAUCAUAAAAUUGCAUCUCCGUACCAUCCACAAUCUAGUGGUCAAGCAGAACUUAGUAAUAGAGAGCUCAAAUUAAUUUUGCAAAAUACUGUUAAUAGAUCUAGAAAGAAUUGGUCCAAGAAACUUGAUGAUGCAUUAUGGGCCUAUAGAACUGCAUAUAAGAAUCCUAUGGGUAUGUCUCCGUAUAAAAUGGUUUAUGGAAAAGCAUGUCACUUGCCUCUCGAACUAGAACAUAAGGCAUAUUGGGCCAUUAAAGAGCUCAAUUAUGAUUUCAAACUUGCCGGUGAGAAGAGCUAUUUGACAUUAGCUCACUUGACGAAUGGAGAACCCAGACCUAUGAGAAUGCCAAACUGUUGAAAGAAAAAGUUAAAAGAUGGCAUGACAAAAGGAUACAAAAGCGUGAGUUUAAUGUAGGUGAUUAUGUGUUGCUAUUCAACUCUCGUUUGAGAUUUUUGCAGGAAAACUCCUCUCAAAAUGGGAAGGUCCUUACGUUAUCGAGGAGGUCUAUCGUUCCGGUGCCAUAAAAAUCAAAAACUUCGAAGGCACAAAUCCGAAGGUGGUGAACGGUCAAAGAAUCAAACAUUAUAUCUCAGGUAAUGCCAUAAUUGUUGAAACCAAUGUUAUUGAAACUGUAACCCCUGAGGAAUACAUAAGGGACACUUUCCAGAACGCUUCAGACUCCGAAAAGGAAUAGGUAUAUGGUAAUGUAAGUAAACUGACCCCAAAACAGUUCUAAUGGCAAUUUUUCUCUGUUUUGGAAUAUUUAAGAAAAUAGGAAAAUAAGAAGUAGUCCGGGAAGGACACGAGGCGUCCACGAGGGAGGAGGGCACGCCCCCUGCCUCGUGGGCACCUCGUGUGCUCUUCGGACUCCGUUUUCUUGCACGAUACUUCUUUUGGUCGGUAAAAAUUCACUAUAUAAUCUCCCGAAGGUUUUGACCACCGUACCACGCAAAUAUCCUCUGCUUUUUGUUUCGAACUGUUUCCGCCGCAGAUUAGAGCAAGAUGUCUUCUCAAGAGUCAGUCGGGGAGAGUCGGGUGUCUCAUCCGACACCGGGUCCAGGAGCAAAUAGCGAUGCCUAUCACUUUGGGCCAUCAACGGAGGAAGAGAUGGAAGCUGACUUGAAAAGGAUAGAUGCCAUGGAGGAGGAUUAGGAAGUUACUUCUCAUUUCCAGGCCGGAUUCACGAUGGGGGAACUACAGAGCUCAGCUAUUCCAAACUCGGUCAUCCCUUCCAAUGUUAGAUUUCUCUCUUAUGAAAAUAUGAAAAAGAGUGUUACUUGUUCUCCCGUAGCUAUGCAACAUCCUUGGGUGAAAGGAGCCUUAGCCAUCACGGAUAAGCUCCGUAAGGAAAUAAUGGACCUCAGGCAGCAAUUCAGUAAGCUCGAGGAGGAGAAUCGUAUCCUGAGGGGCAUCAUCGCCAAGAAUAUCACCUCACCACCUCCGAAGAAAGAGACAUAAUCACAUGGGUAUGGGCACUCCCCUUGGCAACUGCCAAGCUUGGGGGAGGUGCCCCGCUAUCGUAUCACCAUCACACUCCUAUCUUUACCGUUUUUCUUAGUUUGAUCCUUUUGGUAAUAUCUUGAUCUAGUAGAAUAAAGUUUUAGUAUGAUUUAGUUUUGAGUUUUGCUUUAUGAUCCUUCUAUGUAAUCGAGUCCGUGAGCUAUAUAUAAUAAACAUUAGUUUUGAGUCAAGGUCUUGAUUAUCUUGCUAUGAUCGUGAGGGAAUAAAAGGAAAAGAAAGAAUAAAAAGAAAUAAAGAGAUCAUAUUGAUCUUAUGGAGAGUAAUGACUUCACAUAUAAAUAGUAUGAUGAAUAAAAGUUGUUGAGAGUUGACAAACAUAGUUUUGGUCAUCGUUGCAAUUAAUAGGAAGUAAUAAAGAAAGAGAGGUUUUCACAUAUAAAUAUACUAUCUUGGACAUCUUUUAUGAUUGUGAGCACUCAUUAAAAUAUGACAUGCUAAAGAAUUGAUGUUGGACAAGGAAGACAACGUAAUGGGUUAUGUUUUCUUAUAUCUGAAAUAAAGUAUAUUGUCAUGGAUCAUCCAACUUGUUUAGCUUGCCUUUCCCCAUCAUGCUAGCCAAAUUCUUUGCACCAAGUAGAGAUACUACUUGUGCUUCCGAAUAUCCUUAAACCCAGUUUUGCCGUGAGAGUCCACCAUAUCUACCUAUGGAUUGAGUAAGAUCCUUCAAGUAAGUUGUCAUUGUUGCAUGCAAUAAAAAUUGCUAUCUAAAUAUGUAUGAUUUAUUAGUGUGGAGAAAAUAAGCUUUAUACGAUCUUGUGAUGUGGAAGCAAUAAAAGCGACGGACUGCAUAAUAAAGGUCCAUAUCACAAGUGGCAAUAUAAAGUGACGUUCUUUUGCAUUAAUAUUUCAUGCAUCCAACCAUAAAAGCACAUGACAACCUCUGCUUCCCUCUGCGAAGGGCCUAUCUUUUAUUUUUGUCUUAUACCCUGUACAAGAGUCAUGGUGAUCUUCGCCUUUCCUUUUUAUAUUUUAUCCUUUGGCAAGCACAUGUGUUGGAAAGAUCCUGAUAUAUAUAUCCAAUUGGAUGUAAAGUUAUCAUGAACUAUUAUUGUUGAUAUUACCCUUGAGGUAAAAGGUUGGGAGGCAACACUAUAAGCCCCUAUCUUUCUCUGUGUUCGAUUAAAACUCCAUAACCAUAAGUAUUGCGUGAGUGUUAGCAAUUGUGAAAGACUAAAUGAUAGUUGAGUAUGUGGACUUGCUGAAAAGAUCUUAUAUUGACUCUUUCUGAUGUUAUGAUAAAUUGCAAUUGCUUCAAUGACCGAGAUGAUAGUUUGUUAGUUCUCAAUGAAGUUUCUGAUUCAUAUUUGACAUUGUGAAUAGAUUAUUACUUGAGCAUAAGAAAUCAUAUGACAAUAUUUAUAUAUGGUGCUGUUAUAAUAAUGAUCAUGAUGCCCUCAUGUCCGUAUUUUAUUUUAUCGACACCUCUAUCUCUAAACAUGUGGACAUAUUUUUUGUUAUCGGUUUUCGCUUGAGGACAAGCGAGGUCUAAGCUUGGGGGAGUUGAUACGUCCAUUUUUCAUCAUGCUUUUAUAUCGAUAUUUAUUGCAUUAUGUGGGCUGUUAUUACACAUUAUGUCACCAUACUUAUGCCUAUUCUCUCUUAUUUUACAAGGUUUACACGAAGAGGGAGAAUGCCGGCAGGUGGAAUUCUGGGCUGGAAAAGGAGGAAAUAUUAGAGACCUAUUCUGCACAACUCCAAAAGUCCUGAAACUUCACGGAGGCACGUUUUGGAAUUAAUAAAAAAUACCCUGGCCACGAGGGUGGGGGCACGCCCCCUGUCUCGUGGGCCCCUGGCAGGCCUCCGGUGCCCAUCUUCUGCUAUAUGAAGUCUUUCAUCCUGGAAAAAAUCAGAAGGAAACUUUCGGGACGAAACACCGCCGCCACGAGGCGGAACCUUGGCGGAACCAAUCUAGGGCUCCGGCGGAGCUGUUCUGCCGGGGAAUCAUCCCUCCGGGAGGGGGAAAUCAUCACCAUCGUCAUCACCAUCAAUCCUCUCAGUGGGAGGGGGUCAAUCUCCAUCAACAUCUUCACCAGCACCAUCUCCUCUAAAACCCUAGUUCAUCUCUUGUAUCCAAUCUUUGUCCCAAAACCUCAGAUUGGUACAUGUGGGUUGCUAGUAGUGUUGAUUACUCCUUGUAGUUGAUGCUAGUUGGUUUAUUUUUGGUGGAAGAUCAUAUGUUCAGUUCCUCUAUGCAUAUUAAUACCUCUCUGAUUAUGAACAUGAAUAUGAUUUGUGAGUAGUUACGUUUGUUCCUGAGGACAUGGGAGAAGUCUUGCUAUAAGUAGUCAUGUGAAUUUCGUAUUCGUUCGAUAUUUUGAUGAGAUGUAUGUUGUCUUUCCUCUAGUGGUGUUAUGUGAACGUCGACUACAUGACACUUCACCAUUGUUUGGGCCUAGAUGAAGGCAUUGGGAAUAAUAAGUAGAUGAUGGGUUGCUAGAGUGACAGAAGCUUAAACCCUAGUUUAUGCGUUGCUUCAUAAGGGGCUGAUUUGGAUCCAUAUGUUUCAUGCUAUGAUUAGGUUUACCUUAAUACUUCUUUUGUAGUUGCGGAUGCUUGCAAUAGGGGUUAAUCAUAAGUGGGAUGCUUGUCCAAGGAAGGGCAGUACCCAAGCACUGGUCCACCCACAUAUCAAAUUAUCAAAGUAACGAACGCGAAUCAUAUGAGCGUGAUGAAAACUAGCUUGACGAUAAUUCCCAUGUGUCCCCAGGAGCGUUUUCCUUCAUAUAAGAGUUUGUCCAGGCUUGUCCUUUGCUACAAAAAGGAUUGGGCCAUAUUGUUGCACCUUAUUUACUUUCAUUACUUGUUGCCCGUUACAAAUUACCUUAUCACAAAACUAUCUGUUACCGAUAAUUUCAGUGCUUGCAGAGAAUAUCUUACUGAAAACCACUUGUCAUUUCCUUCUGCUCCUCGUUGGGUUCGACACUCUUACUUAUCGAAAGGACUAUGAUAGAUCCCCUACACUUGUGGGUCAUCAGAGGUCCUUAGUUUGAUGGUACUAAUUUUGCUAGUUGGAAGCAUAAGAUGAAAAUACAUACUCUUGGACAUAACCCUGCCGUUUGGGCUAUCGUGUGUAUUGGUUUGCAAGGUGAAUUCUUUGAUGGGAGAGAACCGAACCGUGAAGCUACCGCGGAAGAGUUGAAGAUGGUGCAAUACAACGCUCAAGCUUGCGAUAUCCUCUUCAACGGAUUGUGCCCCGAAGAAUUCAACAAAAUCAGCCGUCUUGAGAAUGCAAAGGAAAUUUGGGAUACUUUGAUUGAUAUGCACGAAGGUACCAACUCCGUCAAGGAAUCCAAAUUGGAUGUGCUUCAAAGUCAACUUGACAAGUUCAAAAUGAAGGAUGGUGAAGGUGUCGCUAAAAUGUACUCUAGGCUUGCUCUCAUCACAAAUGAGAUUGCCGGCUUAGGAAGUGAAGAGAUGACUGGUAGAUUCAUCAUCAAGAAGAUCCUAAGAGCCUUGGAUGCAAAAUAUGAUACCGUGUGCACAUUUAUCCAAAUGAUGCCCAAUUAUAAAGAUCUCAAGCCUACAGAAGUCAUUGAAAGAAUUGUUGCUCAUGAGAUGUCACUCAAGGAUAAGGAAGAGCUUCACAACAAGUCAAGUGGUGCUUACAAAGCCUCAUGUGAUGCCCCUACAUCAUCAAGUGAGAAACAAACCUUCAAUGAGGAAUUGAACCUAAUGGUGAAGAAUUUCAACAAGUUCUACAAGAGUAGAAGCAAGGAAAGAAGCUCCAAGUCAAGGUCCUGCAAUGACAAAAGAUCUUCGAGUCGUGAACGUAAUUGCUACAAUUGUGGAAGACCCGUACACUACUCCAAUGAGUGUACGGCUCCCUACAAGAGAAGAGAAGAUUCACCAAAAAGAAGAAGUAGAAGAGAAGAAUCACCACCUAGAGAGAGGAGGAGUAGAGAUGAUUGUUAUGAACGAAGAACCUCUCAGAGAAGCAAGGAUUUGGAAAGGAAGGACAAAUCAUCAAAGAGCUACAUAAAACGAAGACAUCAAGCUCAUGUUGGUGAAUGGGUAUCCGGCUCCGACUCCGACCAUCACUCUGAAAGAAGUUAUCACUCCGACUCCGAAUAUACUAAAGAUGAAGGUGUUGCUGGUCUAGCACUUGUGUCAACCAACUCCUACGACAUAUUUGGUUCACCAAAUUAAGGAAUUGGAAGAUGCUUCAUGGCUAAAGGCCCAAAGGUAUCACACCCUGAGUAUGUUGAUUUCAAUAGUGAUGAAGAUAUUGCUAGGUGAUGAUGAUUUACUUGUUGACAACUCUAGUGAUGAAAACUAUGAUGAACUUGCUAUUAAUCAUGAUAAUCAAGAUAAAACGAAUGAUGAUGAUAAGAAGGAGAUUGAGCGUCUAACUAAAGAACUAAACACUCUUAAGUUAGCUCAUGAAACUACCUUGGAAGAUCAUCGAGAACUUUUAAAGACUCAUGAAAAGUUACACUUUGAAAAGCUCAACCUUGAGCAAGAGCAUGGGUUCUUAAAAGCAAUCAAUGAUGAUCUUUGCAAGAAAAGUUCUUCUUACAUUGCCAAGCGUUUACUCUUGUCUACUUACAUGUCACAAGUUAAAUCUAGUAACAAGAGUAAGAAAGAUUCUUCUUUUAGUAGUAACAACAAUCAUGUUAAGUCCAAUGUUGUUGCUUCUAGUAGUUCUCUUGAUACCACUAAUGAUUCUCUUAGCCAAGUCACACUUGAGCAAGAAAAUAGCUUAUUGAAGGGAAUUAUAGAGAAAGGUGUUUACAAGAGCAUUGCCGGGAGUAAGCAAUUUGAGGAAAUUGUACGCAAGCAAGGAAGACACCGGAAGAAUCAAGGUGUUGGUUUUGAACGAAAGUUCAAUGCCAAUGGAGUUUAGUGGGAAGAAGAUCAAUACCCCAAGAUGAAGUUUGUUCCUCAACAAGAGAAGUAUGAUCCUACUUCUUUCCAAGGGACACAAGAUCAAGAUGAUCUUCCACCACAAGACCACAAGCAAAAAAGGCAAGGACAAGCUUCAAGAGGAGAUCGAUGCAUUUGAAGAAGCUCCUAAGGCCUUGGUCAAGUGGGUUCCCAAGACUACAUCAAGUUCUACUAUGUCAAGUACGACUACAACUCCAAGGAUUCCCAUCAAGAUGAUGUGGAUCCUGAAGAAGAAGAAGAAGAACUAGGGAGUUCUUGAGGGUGACUCCACCAACAUACUUCACUCAUAUCAUUUUGGCGAGGACAAGUGCAAACAACUUCCACAUCUUGCACUAGUUCAAGGAGUCACAAACGCUCUUGUUGGUAAGACAAGGGACAAGGUAACCUAAUGUUUUCAUGGACAUCAUCUAUGUGUACAUCACUCUAUGUCUAUGGAUAUCCUUGUUUGUUCCUUGUGGGACUAACCCGUGUAGGUAUUGAAAGUGCAACUCACUCCAAUGGAUUGCUCCAAAUGAUCUACAUCAACAUUGAGCAUCCACAUCUUCAACAUCUACAUGAAGUCAUCAUCGACAAAACCCAAGGUUAGUUCAUCCCUCUUAGGGGGGAUAUCACAUCUAGGGGCGCUUUACUCCAACAAUUGAGCUAAAGCAACUCUAAUGAUGUGAACACAACAAUGCUUUAUGUAAAAGUGGUAACCCCACUUGUGCUUACACGAUGAGUAUGACCUAUGAUCAAAUGUUCUCAUUUGACUCCUAAGUCAAUAGACUCAUAUAUAGAUGACCUAGUCAUCGCCAAUUGCUUGAUAGAUGCUAGAGUGUUUGUGCAUGCUUUGUCACAUAUUUUAUUUGCCAUUUUAUUGUGUGAGCAUGUUGAUUGCAUAUUUUACUCAUUUGAGGACAUCCACUUGUUUCUUGGAUUGAUUGGCUCUUUUUCUUUUGCCAAGUAGAUGGACAAGAAUGCCUAAGAACUUUCUCUAGCUAUCUAUGCUUUUCUCGUCUCAAACUCUAUUCAUGCUACAUCACAAAGUUUGAUCAAGUCAGAUUCGAACCACUCUGUGUGAGGAGCACUCAGAGUCCCCAAUUCGUCAUAGACUUAAACUUCAAAAACCUCUCUGUGCAUUUCGGUAUGAACGAUUCAUCCAUUUCGGUCACACCGAGUUCACUGAGUUGAUCUAGGUUUUCAAUCUCGGUGCAACCGAUUUGAACUUUUUGGUCACACCCGAGUUGCAGUAACCGCUUGCGAUUCUGCAUCUCGGUGCCACCGAGUUGUUCCACUCGGUCACACCGAUAGGGUCAGGACAUAUAUACCCACGGGUGAGAUUUUGGAAAUUUCUUCAAAACUCCUCAGCCCGCACGUGUCCUGCUCUGCCGCCUCGGGUCUCCGGAUCGUCUCCUCGUCACCAGCGACCUCCCGCCGCUGGUUUCUGUCGCUGUCAACGGGAUUCUGCCCCACCGUUGUCGUUGUAGCGAACUCACCGCCGAGCUAGGGUAUGAGUUCGAUCUUUUGUGCUAUUUCCUUACUCCGAUUCCUAGCACAUUGCUUUGUCAUGAUCUUUACCACAUAUGAAAUCUAUCCAGAGGAAAACAUCCUUCAAAUUAGGUUUGAUUUGAAAAUUUAGGGUUAGGUCUCCGCCGAACUCAUCUCGGACCGACCGAGUUGUAGAAAUCGGUCUCACCGAUUUGGCUUAGGCCAUUGCACAUGCAUUUUUUGGUCUGACCGAAAAUUGCAAAUCAGUGUGACCGAGUUCAACUCUCUGUGAAACCCUAGCAAUCUCGGAGCCACCGAACUAUGACUCGGUCUGACUGAGUUCACUAGUUUAGACUCCAAAAGUUGCUUCGGUAUCACCGAGUUUAUCAAAUCGGUAGCUCCGAAAUGCUUUCUAUGGAGAACUAAAACUAAGUUUUUGAGUCAUCUGUUUUGCAAAAACUCUGCACUUUGUGAUGCUCAUCCACUCUACCUUAUCUAUAUCUAUUCACAGGGUCUGCUGUCAGUUUGCUUGCCAAGAUGUCUGACCAGAGUGAUAGCCAGAACAAAUCUGAAGAGCAAGUGCAAAUGAGUGAGGGCACUAGUCCCUCAAGCAGCUAUGAUGAGGGCAGCAGGAGCACUCCCAGCAACUUGACAAAGGCAGCCACCAGAUCUAGGAAGAAGAAAACCUCAGAUUCUAAGGAUGAGGACUAUGUGGCUGUUGAGGAGGAAGUGAGCUCCAAGAAGAAAGUCCUGAAGAAGGAAUAUGGAGCUGCUGCUGCAACCAAACCUAGCUUGAACAAGAAAGCACCUGCAAAGAGAGUCCCAAUGUCUAAGGCCAGGGCCUCCACUCAGGAACCCUCCAAGUCAACUGGGGGAGAGGAUGCUGAUGAGGAUAAGAAAAAGAAGGAGAGAAAGAGGGGAAGAUGGUGCAAGAAGGUGGACCCCAUGGCUGAAUUUGAGAAAGCAUUCUUCAGAAGAUGAAGAGGAAGAGGAAGAGGAUGCACCAGCACCCAAGUCCCAGAAGCUCAUGGGAGAUGCAAUCAAGUCAGGGGCUGCUCCAUCAAAGCCCAAAAUGCUCCCAAAGCAACUACUCAAGAUCAAAAGACUUCUAAGCCCAAGAGAAGCACCAGGAACAUACCAGCUGAAGAGAAGAACAAGGCCCCAGUGCCUGAAGUUGAAGAAGAAGAUGAUGAAGCCCAAGUGCUGAGAAAACUGAAACCAAAGAUUCCAAACCACAAUGACACUCAUCCAGUGGCUGAGGACAUGCACAUCAGGAAGGAUGAAGGACUGAGAUUGUGGAGACAGUCUGAUCCCUAUGCUGUGAGGAGGACGAUUGCUGUGGACUACAGGUUCCACACCAAAGAACAACAAGAUUUCUAUGAGACUAUUCUGCUUGACAAGAAGCCAAUUGUCUGUGAUAUGAAGUGGGUUGAUUGGGAAUUCAUUGAUGAGAAUGAAGAUUAUUUCCCAGGAAUGCAUGAAAGUUUCAAAGCUUGUGGAGUUGACAAGUUUGUUGGACAGAAGCUUACCAAAUGGAAUGAUGAGCUCAUUAUGCAGUUUUAUUCUACAGCUCAUUUCUAUCCAGAUGGUAGAAUAGUGUGGAUGUCUGAAGGUACAAGGUACCAAUCAACUGUUGCUGAGUGGGCCAAGUUGAUCAAUGCCCCAGAAGAGCAUGAGGAUGAUUUGGAUGUGUAUGCCAAGAAGAAGAAAGACCACAACUCUAUGGCAAAUAUGUACAAAGAGAUCCAAGAUAAAGCUUUGGACACACACAAGUUUGGAUCUGUACACUAUUUAUUGUCUGGUCUGCUUACUAUCAACACCAUCUUAAGGCAUACUCUGUUACCCAAAUCUGGAUAUCACAAGAUGAUUAGAGGACAUUCCAUCAACUUGUUGCAGAUCUUUGAUGUUCCUCAAAAAUUCAAAGUCAUGAGUCUGAUUGUAGAGACAAUCAAAAGGACAGCUACUGAGCAGAAGAGAUCAUGUGGGUAUGCUCCACACAUCCAGGUGCUCAUCAACUCCAAGAUGGGCACGGGCACUUACUUGUUGGACAAGGAGCAUUUACCUUUGCACCCAGAAUUUGAAGAUAACACGGUUGUGAUGAAUGAGGAUGAACCAUCAUCAGUGCAAGCACAAGAGAAGAGAGCAAAGGCAAAGGCAGAAAAAGCUGCAAAUAUGCCUAGUGUUGAGGAGGCAUCCCAGGUGUUCUUAAAGAGCAAACAAGAUCAGUUAUCCUAUUUGAUUCAAGCAACUUUGAGGAUUGAGGAGGGCUUGGCGACCCUGACUCAGAAUCAGGAGAGCUUGGAUAGGAUUAUAGAAACAAAGUUUUAUGAUCUUGAUCUGAAAGUCACUGAGAUACAGACUGCAGUUGAGUAGCUCCAGGAGGAAGCAGAGGAGAAGAGAGGACAGGGUACUACAGAUGCUUUCAGCGAGUGCCAAGAGGUCAGAGGUCAGCUGCAGUGCCAGUGCCAGAUACAAGAGCUACUUCAUCUGCACCAGCAGCAACAGCUUCAGUUCCACCUCCAGCAGCCACUCCACCAGCUCCAGCUACAUCAACUGAUGCCUUCGUCCUUGGAGUUCUCUCUACACUACCUCCCGAAGACCAAUCAUGAGAGACGCAUAGCACUAUGCAUUUUCAAACUUUUUGGUAACUUGUUGCCAAAGGGGGGGGAAUGUAUAGAUCAUAGGCUUCGAGAGAGAGUGUUUUGCUUCUUUGUCUCUCUUGCUACUUGCUAACUUUUGUGUGUGCUUGUUUGAUACUUUAUGUCUGCAUGUGAGAUACUUACAUGAUCAUGUGUUUGAUCAUAUCAUACUUUAAUGCUUGCUCGAUAUUAUUAUCUCUUAUAUCCCUAUAUGAUCAUUCACUUUGCUUGGUGAUGAGUGCAUGUUUUAAUUCCUAUCAUUUUGAGCGCUCCACCAAGAUGUAUGUGACAUGGAAGAGUAACCCAUGAUCCUAAUCGAUUGUGCAUUUGCAUCCAAAAGCACAUAUUAAAUAAUGCACAAAUUUAGGGGGAGCUCUUGCUUAUCACAUACUUCUCAAAGCGACGAUGUAUUUUAAAUCUUAUUAUCAUUUGUCGAAGCUUGAUCUAUAUGUUGUCAUCAAUUACCAAAAAGGGGGAGAUUCAAAGUGCAACUAUACCUGGGUGGUUUUGGUAAUUACUAACAACAUAUAGCUCAUUGAACUAAUGCUAUUCAAAGAUGAUCAUUUCAGAAAGUUCAAUGAUUGGCAUGGCAUGGAUUAGGAAUGUGGACCCCUCAAAAUGCUAAGGACACAUAUUGGCUCAAGCUCAGGACUCUACAUUUUCAUUUUAGUGAUCCAAUAUCACAUUGAGUCCAUAGGAAAAGCCAAUACUAUUAAAAGGGGACGAGGUGUUGCUUAAUGGCUUGUUUGCUCAAAAUGCUUAGUGAUAUGCUCCAAAAACCCUCAACCACUUUCUCAUAUCCACAUAUGUCCCAAACCAAAAGUCAAACUCGGCCCUACCGAUUUGAUCUAUCUGGCGCCACCGAGUUCAUUUGACAUAGCCACUGCCAGAAACCCUAGUCACUUCAGUCUCACCGAUAGGGAUCUCGGUCGCACCGAGAUGGGAUUGCAAACUCUCUGUUUCCCUUUGUAACAUUUUGGUCUAAUCGAGAUGAGCGAUCGGUCCCACCGAGUUCGUAAUGCAAACUCUCUGUUUCCCCUUCGUAACGUUUCGGUCUCACCAAAAUGAGAGAAUCGGUCCCACCGAGUUUGCCUGACCAACUCUCUGGUUAGCUUAUUACCAAAGUCGGUCCCACCGAGUUUGAGUAAUCGGUCUCACCGAGAUACGUUAUGCCCUAACCCCUAAUGAAAUUGGUCCCACCGAGUUGACAUGUCGGUCCCACCGAAAAGCCUAACAUUCACAUUUUGAACUGAAUUGGUCUGACCGAGUUUUCCGAUUCGGUCCCAUCGAGUUUGGUGAAUUGUGUGCAACGGUUAGAUUUUGUGUGGAGGCUAUAUAUACCCCUCCACCCACUCUUCAUUCGUGGAGAAAGCCAUCAGAACAUACCUACACUUCCAGCAUACAUUUUCUGAGAGAGAACCACCUACUCAUGUGUUGAGACCAAGAUAUUCAAUUCCAACCACAAGAAUCUUGAUCUCUAGCCUUCCCCAAGCUGCUUUCCACUCAAAUCAUCUUUCCACCAAAUCCAAAUCUGUGAGAGAGAGUUGAGUGUUGGGGAGACUAUCAUUUAAAGCACAAGAGCAAGGAGUUCAUCAUCAACACACCAUCUAUUACAUUUUGGAGAGUGGUGUCUCCUAGAUUGGUUAGGUGUCACUUGGGAGCCUCCGUCAAGAUUGUGGAGUUGAACCAAGGAGUUUGUACGGGCAAGGAGAUCGCCUACUUCGUGAAGAUCUACCCUAGUAAGGCAAGUCCUUCGUGGGCAAUGGCCAUGGUGGGAUAGACAAGGUUGCUUCUUCGUGGACCCUUCGUGGGUGGAGCCCUCCGUGGACUCGCGCAACCGUUACCCUUCGUGCGUUGAAGUCUCCAUCAACGUGGAUGUACGAUAGCACCACCUAUCGGAACCACGAAAAAAAUCUCCGCAUCUACAUUGCGUUUGCUCCCUCCAAACUCCUCCCUUUACCUUCAUGUGCAAUGUUUUACAUUCCGUUGCUAUACUCUUAGACUUGCAUGUGUAUGUUGAUUGCUUGACUUGUGCUAAGUUGCUAAAAUCUGCGAAGACUUAAAAUUGGGAAAAUGAUAGAUUUUUAUUUGGUCAAGUAGUCUAAUCACCCCCCCCCCUCUAGACAUACUUUCGAUCCUACGCGCGUCAUUAACAAUGAAACUCCGGUAGAAAUACUUCUUCACACUAAACCAGAUUAUAAGUCUCUCCGUGUUUUUGGGUGUGCAUGUUGGCCCAACCUUCGUCCCUACAACAAUCGCAAACUCAUGUUUUGCUCAAAACAGUGUGUUUUCCUAGGGUAUAGUGCCCAGCAUAAAGGGGUCAAGUGCUUAGAUGUCUCUACUGGCCGUGUCUACAUCUCACGUGAUGUGGUCUUUGAUGAAACAAAAUUUUCGUUCGCUGACCUCCAUCCCAAUGCUGGUGCACUCCUUCGCAAAGAAAUCCUGCUUUUGCCUCCUCAUCUCACUAGUUUUGAUCAAGGGGGACUUAAUAUUGAUGACUUAUUGACUAACCCAUCUAAUGAUGUGCAUGAUUUUUGUGUUGAUGAAACAGAAGAAAUCCAUGCGAAAACUGCAGAAAAUGCGGCUGAAAAUGAGCCAUAUCCAUAUUAUAUGUGCUUCACCGGGGGAGACAGAUCGUCCUCGGGAUCCGCCCGGCUGCAGCGGAUCGAAUCCGACUCGGGAUCGGCCCCUGCUCACGAGGCAGGUGCAGGCGCCUCGGGAUCGUCUCCUACUGACGGGGCAGGUGCAGGCGCGGGCGUGUGCGUCGCGCCUUCCCCAGACCCACGUGCCAGUCCCGUGGGGGACACGCGCGCUCGGGCGGUCGAGGCCCCGCACCAGUCGCCAUCCACCUACGGUAUGAGGUACGCCACCCACCCGGUGACGUACACGCGGCGUGAUGGCUCGCGACGCACGGAGGGUCCGACCGGUGUUGCGACCCAGGUGGAUGCGCCAUCAUCACGUAAUGAUGAGCUGCAUGCACAUGCACACGCACCAGGAUCCUCUGCGGCCAUUCCAGGUGCUCUACUUCAACAAUCAGCCGCAGAAAAUCCACCAGAAUCUUCAUUGGGAUCUGAUGUGGCCACAAAUGAGCAGUCUGCAGGAUCCUCUGUGGCUACUGAUCCGGCUGUUUCACAACAGCGACGCACACGGCUGCAACAAGGGGUAAUUCAACCUAUUAAUUACAAGCAUAUGACCAAGGAUGGUAUGGUUUGUUCCAUAGGUGAACCAGAUGAGCCUAACAGCCUUGAAGCAGCACUGUGUGAUGAGAAGUGGAAGAAAGCUAUGCAUGAAGAAUACAUGGCAUUGAAGAGAAACAAAACAUGGCACUUGAUUCCCCCACAGCAAGGUAAAAAUUUGAUUGAUUGCAAGUGGGUUUUCAGGAUUAAGAGGAAAGCUGAUGGAACCAUUGAUCGUUAUAAGGCUAGACUUGUUGCAAAAGGCUUCAAACAGAGAUAUGUCAUAGACUACGAGGACACCUUUAGUCCAGUGGUAAAGGCGGCCACUAUUCAUCUUGUCAUGUCUAUUGCUGUUUCUAGAGGAUGGAGUCUCAAACAGCUCGAUGUUCAGAACGCGUUCCUCCAUGGUGUUCUGGAAGAGGAAGUGUACAUGAAACAACCUCCUGGGUUUGAGAGUAAGAAUGCUCCUUCUUAUGUGUGCAAGCUUGAUAAAGCGUUAUAUAUAUAUGGGUUAAAGCAAGCUCCAAGGGCAUGGUAUGCUCGCCUCUGUCACAAAAUGCAAGCACUCAGUUUUGUUCCUUCUAAGUCUGACACAUCAUUGUUCAUCUACAACAAGUCCAACACAUGCAUAUUUGUUCUUAUAUAUGUUGACGAUAUUAUUGUGACCAGUUCAUCUGAUGAAGCGAUCACAGGACUUCUUAAGGAUUUGAGUGCAGACUUUGCUCUAAAGGAUCUUGGUGACUUGCAUUACUUUCUUGGGAUUGAGGUGAAGAAGCACAAGGAUGGACUUCUCCUCUCUCAAGAAAAGUAUGCAACUGACUUGGUUAAAAAGGCUGGAUUACAAGGAUGUAAACCCUCACUUACUCCGUUAUCUAGCUCGGAAAGAUUAUCCCUUGCAAAAGGCGAGCCCUUGAAUCAAGAGGACAGCACCAAAUACAGAAGUCUGGUAGGAGCUCUUCAGUAUCUCACACUUACCAAGCCUGAUAUUUCCUUUGCUGUUAACAAAGUCUGCCAGUUUCUCCAUGCACCCACCAAUGUUCAUUUGACAGCUGCAAAACGUAUAGUUCGAUAUGUGAAGCACACUCUGAACUUAGGACUGAACUUCAGCAAAUCACCGUUUACUUUUGUCAGUGCAUUUUCUAACUCUGAUUGGGCAGGUUGUCUUGAUGACAGACGCUCCACUGGUGGUUUUGCAGUAUUUUUUGGACCCAAUUUGGUAUCAUGGUGUGCACGUAAACAGGCUACUGUAUCCAGGUCAAGCACAGAGGCAGAAUACAAGGCAUUGGCAAAUGCCACAGCUGAGAUAAUAUGGGUUCAGUCCAUGCUGAAGGAACUUGGCAUACAAAGUAAGCAGGCUCCUUGCUUAUGGUGUGACAACCUUGGUGCUACGUAUCUCUCUGCAAAUCCGGUGUUCCAUGCCAGGACAAAACACAUAGAGAUAGAUUUUCAUUUUGUCAGAGAAAAAGUUGCUCAGAAGCAACUUGACAUUCGCUUUGUGCAUUCCAAAGAUCAACUUGCAGAUGGAUUCACAAAGCCUUUGCCUACAAGAAGUUUUGAAGACUUCAAGCAUAAUCUCAACUUGAUGAAGUUGUGAUUAAGGGAGGGUGUUAAACAUCAAUAUUGAGCCUGUACGUGUUAAGCAUCCUUGGGCGUGUCAUUGGGCGCAUUGUAACGUAUCUUAGCAGGAGUCCUUCGGUUGUAGGCUAGGAGGUUUAUCUUCUGUAACCAUAACCCUAUCUCUUCCUAGCUUGAUCUCCAAGUUGUAACCUCUCUUGUAAGAUCUCAACUGUAUGCGUUAUCAGGGACUCGCGCCCCUGCCUAUAACAUGCACGGCGUCCCCUCUCGAUGAGGUAAGACGUUUUCCGCUUCGCACAAUACCUCAUAUCUUUUGGACCUGGUACUCUUCAAAUUUUGUAACAUACUGAGAAUAUGUGUUUGUCAGCCCGGCCCGCAAGAACAAUGUGAACUUUGGCAUUAAAUUCACCAUUGCCGCCGCUUAUCAGUACAUCUUUUACAGCAUCGCGUAACCGCCUGCCGGCCAUUGUUGUGAAUUCUAUACUAAAACAUAACAACAAAAAUUAGCGGGGUGAUGGUGCUUAUAGUUUCUGAGCAUAUGCUUGCUAGCUCUGUAACCCAAGCAAUUGCCCCCACCUAAGUCCUGCCCGGCAAAGUCUUCUUUUCGUUACAAGGAAAUAUAUAGCGUGCUCGUUAACAUGGGCAAUGUCUUCUUUUUGUCAUGUUGUGGACUUGUGAUCCACUGAGUAGUUUCUCAUAAUUACUACAGUAUAUACUAUUUUUGCUGACAGUUACAUUAAGAUACAAACCAUUUUAUGUACCAAACACCUGUCUUUGCUGGCUGCUGCCUUGAGCCAUUGUUCAAGUGGGCUACUUUUUCUUGCCUAGCAAAGCAAAGUGAGAUAAUGAUGCAGACAUGCAUGUUGCUGUUGUUGUUGAGAAAGAACUGGGUAACGUAAGAAUGGCAUGUCGUAGCACAUCUUGGUAGAUAGAAAAAAAUGGUAUGCACUUCUAACUGUACAGACAUCCUAGGAUUGACGAAUUGGAAUAUACCUCCAGGAACACACAAGAUAACCAGCUGACCGAUUCUCAUGAUCUGAAUGGGAAGUAUCACAGGCUGCAAAAGAUAACAGAAGUGAACACAAGACCAGGAAACGAAAAAUGUGUUGAUUCAGUAAACUGGUCUCUAGUUGAGAUCUUGGUUCUGAUUUGCAUAUUGUGGAGCUUGCACACAACAGGUGACGACUCAUUUGAUCCCAUCACCUCUCCAUAUAUAGUGGCUACGCAUUAAGUUCUAAAACUAAAAAACUCUCAUGGGAAAAAAAUCAAGUUCAUUACAGAAAAAUUAAGGAAUGUAAAAUUUGUUAGAGUUAUAAUAUAAGUCAUGUACCCCUUUGUAUUUAUCCCGUUGUAUAAGGGGUUCCCUGCAUAUGUUCCACACCUGUACAUGUAUAUAUAUCGGCCUAUAGCCUCAUGGGAAUACAAGUUGCUUAUUCCUAACAUGGUAUUAGAGCUAGGUCAAUUUUUUGCACGCUGCAACUCGUGCUAUUGAUCCGUCUCUCCUCCCUGAUCGAAGGCGCCGGCCUCGAUCUCCCGGAGUCUCCCGAUCUGAUCGAUCGAGUCCGGCUCGUCUUACUCCCGCUCAAAGCUGCUCCCGCUCGAAAGCCCUGAUCUCCCGAUCAGGAUCGAAGCGAUCUCCUGGAGUCUCCCGAUCGGUUCGAUCGAGUCCGGCUUGCACUACUCCCGAUCGAAGCUGCUCCCGCUCGAAGCCCCAACCGGCCUCGCUCCCUGGCCCGAUCGUCCUAGUCCCGCUCGCAGUUGCCGUCUCGAUCCUAGCUGAUCGCUUGCCUGCCGCUCCCGGAUCCCGUCCCGAUUGGAAGCUCUCUCGUCAGAUUCUGCUAAAAAAAAUGUCUGCUGCAUCGGGCUAUGUUGCUGUCCCUCGCUGUCCGGUGAUCUUUGAUGGUACUAAUUACACCGAGUUCACUGGCUUUAUGCGCAUUCACAUGCGUGGCAUCCGUCUCUGGGGUGUUCUUUCUGGCGAGGUCUGCUGUCCGUCACGUCCGGUUCCUCCGGUUGCCCCUACUCCGCCGACUCCACUGGUUCUUCCUACGGAUGCUAAUCAGGCCGCCAAGGAUGCGGCCAAGCUUGCUGAUGAGGCUGCUGAUCGUGCUUAUGAUGAGAGGGUUUUGGCUUAUGAGGAGGCUCUUCAGACGUAUCAUGGUGCUCUGUCUGUUUACACCCAGUGGCUUGAUGAUGAUGCUCGUGCUGCAGUUGUUCUCACUGCUAGUGUUCUGCCUCAGUUUGCUUCUGAGUUUCUGGGUCUUCCUACUGUCUUUCAGAUGUGGACCUGUCUUCGUCAGCGCUAUGAGCCCUCUGGUGAUGCCUUAUACCUUUCUGUGGUUCGUCAGGAGCAUGCUCUUCAGCAGGGUGACUCUACUGUUGAUGACUUCUAUGCACAGAGUUCUGCUAUUUGGCUCCAGCUUGAUUCUCUCUGCAGUGCUGGUUGUCGUACUUGUCCCUGUUGCCAGGCUGUCCAGGCCAAUUUGGAGUUUCAUCGCGUCUACGAGUUCCUGUCUCGGCUCCGUAAGGAGUUUGAGCCCCGGCGUGCUCAGUUGUUUGCUCGUGGCCGUAUUUCUCUCAUGGAGGCGCUUUCAGAGAUUCGUGCUGAGGAGACUCGCUUACGUGGUGCUGGUUUGCUGGAGGUUCCCUCUGUGCUCACUACUCGGGCUUCUUCCACUCCACCUGCUGCACCGACCCCUUCUCGCUCGAGUGCUCCGCCGCUCUUGCCCACUCCUUCUGGAGGCUCAGGUCGCCCCCGUCCACAUUGUGACUACUGCAACAAUGAUGGUCAUAUUGAGUCCCAGUGCUACACAAAGCGGAAACACCUACGCAAGGCGCGAUCAUCAUCCUCAGGGACUUCGUCAUCUCCCUCGACAGCUUCAGCCAUUGCUUUGACUGAGCAGGAUAUUCUGAGACUUAAGCGUAUGCUCGCGGCUUCAGGUUCUUCCUCGACGGGUACUGCUGGUUCUGUGACUGAUGCUUCCCGCACUGAGCAACCGCCCUCUACACAGUCAGGUACAUCCCCAUGGGUUCUGGACUCUGGAGCUUCUUUUCAUAUGUCUUCUCAUUCUUCCACUUUGUCCUCUCUUCGAUCGCUGGAUUCUCCUGUUCAUGUCUUCACUGCUGAUGGUACUCCACUUUCUGUUGCUAGUAGAGGCAAUCUUUCCACUCCUUCUUAUUCUGUUCCUGAUGUUGCUCAUGUUCCUCGACUUACCAUGAAUCUGUUUUCUGCUGGUCAACUUACUGAUUCUGGUUGUCGUGUCAUCCUUGACGUUGACUCUUGUUCUGUCCAGGACCGUCACACGCACACUCUGGUUGGGGCUGGCCCUCGCCGCCGUGAUUCUCAGGGUCUUUGGGAGUUGGACUGGCUUCAUGUUCCUUCCGCUGCCACCACCAUCGCCAGUUCCUUCGCUUCUGUCGCCUCCGUUACUGGUUCCUUCAAGCAGUGGCAUCAUCGACUUGGUCAUCUGUGUGGUUCUUGGUUGUCGUCUUUAGUUCGUCGAGGUCUUCUGGGGUCUGUCUCAGGAGAUGUCUCUUUAGAGUGUCAGGGUUGUCGUCUUGGCAAGUAGAUUCAGUUACCAUAUUCACAUAGUGAGUCAGUGUCUAAGCGUCCUUUCGAUUUAGUCCAUUCUGAUGUAUGGGGUCCGGCUCCUUUCGCUUCGAAAGGUGGUCAUAAAUACUAUAUUAUUUUCAUAGAUGAUUUCUCUCGUUACACAUGGCUUUAUUUCAUGACUUCUCGUAGUGAGGUGUUGUCUAUUUAUAAGCGUUUUGCUGUCAUCGUUCAUACUCAGUUCUCUUCACCCAUUCGUGUUUUUCGUGCUGACUCCGCUGGCGAGUAUAUCUCUAAGAUGUUGCGUGGUGUUCUUGCUUAGCAAGGGACUCUCUCUCAAUUCUCUUGUCCUGGUGCUCAUGCUCAGAAUGGUGUGGCUGAGCGAAAGCAUCGACGUCUUCUUAAGACGGCUCGUGCAUUGAUGAUUGCUGCCUCUCUCCCGCCUCAUUUUUGGGCCGAGGCCGUCUCCACCUCCACCUAUCUUAUCAAUAUACAGCCUUCCGCUGCUCUACAGGGUGGUGUUCCUUUCGAGCGUCUUUUUGAUCGUUCUCCCGAUUAUUCGAUGCUUCGCUUGUUUGGUUGUGUUUGCUAUGUUCUUCUUGCCCCUCGCGAACGCACCAAACUGACCGCUCAGUCUGUUGAGUGUGUCUUCUUAGGCUACAGUGAUGAACAUAAGGGCUAUCGUUGUUGGGAUCCUAUCGGUCGUCGGAUGCGUAUCUCUCGAGACGUGACUUUUGAUGAGUCUCGUCCCUUCUACCCACGCCCAUCUUCCUCGAUUUUUUCAGUGGAGGAUAUCUCUUUCCUCACUUUUCCUGACUCACCUAUCACCCUCGUCGCGCCUGUGCCUAUUCGUUCCACUCCCUCUGCUUCUCCACCUCUAGUCGAUUUGCAGCCACCAUCUUCUCCGGUCUCCUCGCCUAGCAUGUCACCGGAUUCUACACCUUCAUCUCCGGUGACUUCUUCGUCGCCACCCCCCGAUUCUACCUUGGCGAUUCCUCCUUCUAUUGUUCCAUCUUUUCCUCAGCAUUACACUCGUCGUUCACGACCUGUGGAUGCCUCAUUGGAUGAGUCGUCCUCUUCCUCUCAGCCUACUUAUGGCUUGCGUUCUCGCCCUCGUCCGCCUGUUGAUCGCUUUGGAUUUCCCACCGCUGGUGCUGCUGUUCUUGAGCCGACUUCUUAUCGUUAGGCUGUUGUUCAUCCUGAAUGGCAGUUUGCGAUGGCAGAGGAGAUUGCUGCUCUUGAACGCACUGGUACCUGGGAUCUUGUUUCUCUUCCUCCCGAAGUCCGUCCCAUCACUUGUAAGUGGGUCUACAAGGUUAAGACUCGCUCUGAUGGUUCUCUUGAGCGUCACAAAGCUCGUCUUCCGGCUCGUGGUUUUCAGCAGGAGCAUGAUCGUGAUUAUGACGAGACUUUUGCUCCUGUGGCCCAUAUGACCACUGUUCGUACACUUCUUACUGUUGCCUCUACACGUCACUGGUCUAUAUCUCAGCUUGAUGUUAAGAAUGUCUUUCUUAAUGGUGAGCUGCGUGAGGUGUACAUGCAGCCAUCACCUGGGUAUUCUGUUCCUGAUGGCAUGGUAUGUCGUCUUCGUCGCUCUCUCUAUGGCCUUAAGCAAGCCCCUCGCGCCUGGUUUGAGCGUUUUGCCUCUGUGGUCACUACUGCUAGUUUUUCAGCAAGUGCUCAUGAUCCAGCAUUGUUUAUUCACCUUUCUCCUCGUGGUCGGACUCUUCUUCUUCUCUAUGUUGAUGACAUGAUCAUCACUGGGGAUGACCCCGAGUAUAUUGCCUUUGUAAAGGCCCGUCUUAGUGAGCAGUUUCUUAUGUCUGAUCUUGGACCUCUUCGCUACUUUCUUGGGAUUGAAGUCUCUUCUACCUCUGAUAGCUUUUUUAUAUCCCAGGAAAAGUAUAUCCAGGAUCUUCUUGCUCGUGCUGCUCUUACUGACGAGCGCAUUGUUGAGACUCCUAUGGAGCUCAAUGUUCACCUCCGUGCUACUGAUAGUGAUCCUCUCCCUGACCCGACGCGUUAUCGUCAUCUCGUUGGCAGUCUUGUCUAUCUAGCUGUCACUCGUCCGGACAUCUCUUAUCCGGUUCAUAUUCUGAGUCAGUUUGUCUCUGCUCCCACAUCGGUUCACUAUAGUCAUCUCCUUCGUGUUCUCCGAUAUCUUCGGGGCACGAUCUCUCACCGUCUAUUCUUUCCUAGCUCCAGUUCUUUACAGCUUCAGGCCUAUUCGGAUGCUACGUGGGCUAGUGAUCCUUCUGAUCGCCGUUCACUUUCUGCUUACUUUGUUUUUCUUGGCGGUUCUCUCAUUGCCUGGAAGACGAAGAAACAGAUUGCAGUUUCCCGUUCGAGUGCUGAGGCUGAGUUGCGAGCCAUGGCUCUUUUGACGGCAGAGGUGACUUGGUUACGGUGGUUACUUCAGGAUUUUGGUGUUUCUGUCACUACACCGACUCUGCUCUUAUCUGACAGUACAGGUGCUAUUAGCAUUGUGCGCGAUCCUAUGAAGCAUGAGCUCACCAAGCAUAUUGGUGUUGAUGCUUUCUAUGUGCGCGCUGGUGUGUAGGAUCAGGUUAUUGCUCUUUAGUAUGUGCCUUCCGAGUUACAGUUGGCGGAUUUCUUGACGAAGGCCCAGACUAGAGCACAACAUGGCUUUUAUCUCUCCAAACUCAGUGUUGUUCAUCCACCAUGAGUUUGAGGGGGGGUGUUAGAGUUAUAAUAUAAGUCAUGUACCCCUUUGUAUUUAUCCCGUUGUAUAAGGGAUUUCCUGCAUAUGUUCCACACCUGUACAUGUAUAUAUAUCGGCCUAUGGCCUCAUGGGAAUACAAGUUGCUUAUUCCUAACAAAAUUCACUAAUGUUACAUGGAAUUAUAUCCCAUAUACUAGCCUAUGCGGUCUGAUUUGAUGCAGCAGCAAUUAGUUAUAUUGAUGGUGCCAUUGGUGUCAGGUAUUAAGUAAAAUCACAAUUUAGACAUUCGAGAGAAAGCGAACAACUGAAAAAAGGCCGAAUUAUUCCACAUGCUUUAUUGUUUUUGUGUUACCAAAGCAUGGCAUGAGUAUGGAGGUAACUCGUCCAGAAACUGUUUUAUCAUGAGAAUAUGCACACUGCAAGUGCAAAAUCAUGUGCAUCCUACCGCUUGUAUUCGUUCCACUUGCGAAGAACGGUUAAAACUGCAUGAAAUGGGUAACGGAUGUCAAAUGCAUGAGGAAGGGUGACAACUUCAUUGACAUCCCUUGUAUAAAUACUUCCGUCAAGAUUACAUUCAGGACUUGCGAUUCACAAAUGUGAAAUCAGUCUACUGAACAGUCUGGAAUACUGGAGGAAGCCAAAAGAUGAGCAAACAUGAGUGGUGGAAAUUUCCUUUAUCUAGCUAUACUUCAAGAGAUCAUAAAGGAGGAAAAUAGUGUCUCAGUUCAUCAUGUAAGUAUGCAUGACAAAAGUGUCUCUACCAGAUGACUUAACAACACGGUUCACAUUCCGAUACAAGAUAUUACCACAUCACAGAUACUCUUGCUGCUUUUGCACCCUUGUGUUUGAAAUGCUACUCUUGCUGCUUUUGCAGCCUUCUGCUUGAAAUUGCUACUCUAGUGCCAGGCUGUGAACUGCUAUUUCCCAUUUCCCAUGAAUUAUGUCAGUCAAUCAUGCCAGAAAAUUUGCCAUCUGGUCACGUAGCCAGCACCCAAAGGCGGUAACCCUCACAUGAUGCGAACAGUGGUCAACCAUGGAUUAAUUAUAUGUCCAUACAACAUGGCAUCCAAUCUGCAUGCAUCUCAGCCUUGACAUAUACAUCCAAUAUGCAUGAUGGUACAAUCUGAACUAUAUAGUCUCUCAAAGGGGAACAAAUCAGAGUCCAAAUUUGCCCAAUCCACUGUUAACUCAGUUCUUGAGGAAUAAGGUAAAAGGAGAUGGGCUUUACCAACAGACAGUAAGUAAUGCGUGAGUGAAUCCACGACGUACAUACAGUAUCCUGAAACGGCCUGCGCUAUUGCAAAACGCUAGAUAUGUCCACAUGAUAGUAUAAUAUGAACAUGCACCCGACAGUGGAAUGUAUUUUCCCUAAUGUACACGCUAUAUAUUUGCUUGUAACAAAAGCAUAAAGAGCAGCAGUUCUCAGACAUCGUCACAAGUUGUGUAUUG
rnacentral:lncRNA from 1 species